rnacentral:lncRNA from 1 species
ACAACCCACUGUUAGAGUGGUUGAGUUUGCCGUACAAACAACAGCUAUCAAACAAUUAUGUUAGAUGGCUCGCGUUUUGAGGCGUUGGUAUGGACGCAGAUGUCGAUCCCCCUGUUUUGGAUGAUCGUGGUGUUAGAGGCGGAAAGACCACUUGGAACCCGAGCAGAUUUGACUUGACAACCGAGGCAGCUCUAGAGGAAAAGGUGAAGAGUCGGUCCGACGACACACGACAAACAAAGACCCUUAGCUGAAGCAAAACAACGCACAGACAGAAGAAGCCUAACACGACACGCCGAUACCCACGGAAGAGAGACUAAAUAGAGUUUCAGGUUGGGAGAUCAUCGUUUUCUCAGAAGUCCUCGCCGUCCAGAAGGGAUCGCCGUUAUUGGGAGUACAAGAUGGAAAGCUUAGUCACGGUUUGUUGGCACCGCAUACACAUUACAGAGUAUUAAGAGCGUAUAGCGGCCGGUGGCAUUAAGGAAUGUUGCAUAACCAACCCGCGAACCUAUGCUGCGGCAUCACAAGAAUGUGGCUCUCCACCGUCUCGUGCGGCUGAGCGAGAUAAUGUUUAUCGAAUCAUCAAUCUCCACGUGAUUGAGCUUCGCCACUCCACUCAGAGAUUCGACUGUGAAGAAACGACCUGAAAGGUACUAGAGAGCGACCGAGCUUGCAGAUUCUUGCGCGUAAGAGACGAAAGAAUUGCGCAGACCGGGACUCAUUCCGUACGGACGUGCCAAGUGGAUCAUCACAGAGGAACGGGAGGCGACCUGUGGAGCCCGAGAUGGAGUGAUGAGAGAGUCCUACCAAGGAACCAGACUUCGUUCGCUUCUCGUCUUGAGGUAUCAGUAUAUUAAGUUAUUCAGAGGACGCAAACUGUUUUUGUAGUGAGGGAGGAAUGUAGUACCCUUGUUAUAUUUAUUUAAUUUUUUUUAAUUUUUUUUUGAGUCGGAUUGGUGAUGCAAUGGGGGUGGCUUUGGGAUGGGCCACGAGUGCACCCCCCCAUGCAUCCUUAUGCUUUGGUGGCCUGCACGAGGAGAUAGUGGUGAUUUGUAAUUUCCUCUCAUCCUCUCAGAUUGGAGCUGGAGAGCUCGUAGGAGGCUAUAGUAUGGAGAUUGGAGCAGACGUCAACUUGCGCGCCUGCGAGCGCGUUGGAGCGUGCGUCGCGUCGUGGUACGUGCGCUUGAGGCUGGGACGAGGGUGCAUUUUCGUCGUUCUCGAUCGUACGCCGGUGCUUGGGAGUCGCUUAAGAGAGUGAGGUUUAACGAUGCGGUUUUUUCUGUACUUAUCCCUAAAGUAUCAGUAUAACCGAUACGCAUGGUAUAAUUUGAAUCCGACACCUAUUGGAUACUCUAUUAGACUCGAAUUAUAGGAUUAUAUUGUAGAAUUGCAAAUCUGAAUUUAGAGGCAUGUGGCACAUAAAUUAAGUAGGUUUAUACAUGUUAGGACUUAGAAAUAUAAUUAAGGAGAAAACCCCUGCGUUAGGAACAGAACUGUCACUUGUUUAAACUGCUGAUUUAGCUCUAGGGCCGUUAUUAAUUGUACUAGUCGCAGUAUCAUGCAGACGAGCUACUCAGGUAGUUUAGAUUAAUUCUAACUGCAUGCUGUGGACCACCGAGUGCGAUAUUUUAUAAGAAGUCAGUAAUAAAGGUUGUUCCCCAGAACUGUGGGUGCCGUCAGAGUUGAGGUGGAGCCGCGUAAUCAGCCUUUUUGGCGUACAGAUUGUGCCGCGACGAACAUGUACCUGUUGGUGGUCUAGCCAGUGCAGGCUCGGUUACUAUGACUUUGGCUUUUGCAGAGCCUGUUUGAGCUCGAACAAGAGGCAUACGCUGCAUACUCGGUUGGGUGCAGGCCCACGACGAGUGCCACUGUAUCAUCAGCAGGAUUAGGCACUUUGUCGGCGUUUCGCCGAAUUAGGUGUCGGCUCAUACAACGCAGUUGGACUCUGCUAAUCCACGGGACAGACCAGUUAGUGUGGGAAAGAGCCUAGAUAGUCGCACAACGAGGACAGGAACGGGUUGCAUUCAAAUAGUCCGCGGAACGGUAUGCUGUCAGCAGUCCCGAUUGGAUUGGGUAUCAAGAUUAUGACAAUUUAAAAUCAAGUACACUGGUUAUGUACAGCAAAGAGCAUGACCGAUGCAAGUAGUAGUGUCGACUAGCAGGUAGAAAGUUUAUACUUCAAAUCUCGAGCUUUUACUAGAUGACAACUAGCAUCUUGCUCCUCUGUAGAUUAGUGGGUGGACCGAUGAUAUAGCUUUUGGGCGGGUACCACCAUAAGAGGACUACUAUGUUUUACAAGUAAUUCUCGACGCCCAGUUGUUACACAGAAACAAAUCUAAAGGAUUAAAUAAUGGCAGAGGCCAUCAGGUUCCGGCUAAGAUAGAAAACCUUCCGAGGAUCAGGAUCGAGGCAAGGGGCGUCACGAGUUAGAGCCCUAACCCGCUCGUGCUAGCAUAGAGGUGCCCUACUGCAAGGUAGAUUUUUGUUUUCGAGUUUUCCUGUAGCAUAGUAGACUUAAAGCUCGCCAAAAAUAAAAAAAAAGUGCGAGUAGCUUAUAUUUUUGGAUUUGGAACUAUGUAUAUUAGAACAUCAGAUAUAGAUUAUCUUACUCGUUUUUUAUUAGCGCUUCUAAUACAUAGUUUUUUCGUAGUAGCGUUUGUUACAGGUACACUAAAAAUAAGAUAGAAAAACUCGUAUUCAGAGAAAUUUCUUUGUAUACGGCGGAAUUAAUGAUACGGAGUAGUCGGGGAUAAGAAAUACGGCGUGACAAUCAUUAAUACAUAAGGCUGAAAAUUAUAGCUAGUGUUGGUAUAAUUAAUAUUAGUACAUAAAAUUCUAUAUUAAAAAAAAUAUUGGCUAGGGUUAACUAUAGCUCUUUGUGUUAGACCCCUUUAUAACUUUAUACAUUUUUGGAUACCGUUUGGAUGUGCCAAUUAGGAACACAAAUGAAUAGUAGCGAUACCUAGGAUUGAGUGGAAAGUGGCUGGUUGAAUAGUAUCGAUUUACGGUGGAAUAGUUAAAAGUGAUAGAUCUAACGAUGAAACCUAUAAAGACAAGUAUGAAACACUCACUCAAUACUAAUAAGAUAGACUGCGACAUCUCCUAUAUUAUUAUAAUAUAUAAUUAUUUAUAUAAAUUAUAAAAAAAUAAAUAUUAUUAUUAUUUAAUUAUUUGAUAUAUAAUUUAGAUUAUUGGGCGCCAAACCAAACCAGCAAAAUCUUACCUCCUAAUUGCUCCUCUCUCUCUCCACCACAACUCUCUCAUUCUCACGAGGUGGAAUCAACGCGUCCCCACCCGUCUCCUUCCCUUUUUCACGCACAAUUCUCUCCUCUCUUUCUCCUCUCCUCCUUCCCCCCUCUCGCUCUCUCUCUCGCCCCUCCCUCUCUCUCGUCAUCGCUCUCCGCCCCUCUCUCGCCUUUCUUUUGUAUCGACACUUCUUACGCACUCAUGAUUCUCUCACACUCUCGCCCCGACCCUGUCUACCCCCGCAACUUCUCACACCGCGCCAGCGCUUGUCUCUACCGGCCUCCCGAGCGCCCCCGCCCCCCGCUCUCGCACCCCCUCGCACAUCUCACCCGCCUUGCUCGACGCCUCCGCUCUCUGGAAUUAAUCUUCAACACGACGCUUGCCGCCCCUCACCACUCUCCUCCACGCGCUCCCCCGAAUCUCCACUUCUCCCACACGCCCCCCAACCACCCUCUGAGACUACCCGCCCGCCCUACCCCUCCCACUCUCCGACCCACCCCUCCCCCCGACCCCUCCGUCCUCCUCCCCCCCCCUCAAGCACUCACUCUUCCCUCCCCCAAUCCUUAACUUCAAUACCGCACACACACCUCCUCAUCAACCCACCGCCUCACUCUCCCUCAGUAUUCCAAUAAAUCACCCUCCAUGAUUUAAAGAAAUAAUAAAAAAAUAUCUAUACUUGAUAACAUUCAUCUACAAACUAAAAAUAAAAUUCUUUAACUUUUGGUCCAUCAUAAUAUUAUCUCUACCUUUUAAUUAACUAAGAUUAUUUGGCUUGAAAAAUUAAAUACCAAAUUAUUGAAUGUAAUUUAAAUUGAAAACUAUUAAUUAGAGAAAACUAAAAAUGCAACGAUAGUAUACAAGUCAUACUUAAUUAGAAAAAAUGUAAAAGACAUCAGAUUCACAAAAAAUAUAAUAUAUCUUAGUUAAUUAAUUGUUAAUUAAUAUUCAACAUUAAGACCCAUAUGCUAUUAAAUUUUAAAAAGUGGAUAAAAAAGACAUUCAUAAAACUAUUUCACAACCAACGUUGAGUUAUUAUUUACCCCGAUCUCGUCCUAGAGCAAGUGGUAAAAGGCUUGAUGGCUAUGGUAGCCCUGACGACCAAGUCUUCGAAUCCUAGUUAAUUCACAUCUUUCAGUUAAAUUUCUAAUCUAAAAUGAAAUAAAUGAAGCGGGUAGCCGUGCUAGCGCUACCUCAAAAAAAAAAAAAAACUUUGAGCCAUUUAUUUGGAUAGAAGAAAUAAACUUUAUGGAAUGAUUUAAAUGUAAUCAUUCCUCCAAACCCCCUUAAUUACAUAAAAACACCCCAAAGUGGUCACAUACAAGAUAUACUCUCUAAUUAGAGAAACCCGUCUUAAAUACCCCUAUUGAUAGUGAAAUAGUGAUCAUUCUAGGAUGUGGUAUCCUGAUUGUUCAGGGAGAGGACUUAUCAGACAGCCCUUUUGACGAGCAUCGUCGGGACCAAGUGCUGAAGAUCGCGCGUUGGCGCGAAAUAAGCAUACAAAAGAAACUCCAGCCCGGACGACCAAGAGCAAGGACCUUGCAAUUCAGGAACUCUGUAACACAGCGCCAGAUUUUCUCAGCUUGUCUGGUACCCCGGUACAACGCAAUCCACAGCAGAGUACUCGGUAACCAAACCUUUCUGUACCCGCGGGGCCUCCCAUCAAAACAUAGGGGUGUACGGUCACCUUUGACAGAUUUGCGACAAGCCAUACUCUCGGGUUGCCAAUUUGUACCGGUACAUUUGCCGUGUACCGUCACCUAAAGUAGGUAAGGGCGGUUUUCUGUACUCUUCCAGUGGGCUUGUACGUCGGUCACCACUCACCACUCCCCCACCUCGCUAUUUACAUGUGUGCAGAGUUGGACGAAGAUAUUCUCAAACUGCUAUCUUCCCUUUCUCCUCUCCGCAAUGCGCCCGAGCAGGAAGAGUGCGGUGAGAGUUCCGAGUUUGCCGAUGUCGCGCAGUGGUGCGUUUGAAGUGUGUCUCGUAGUCGUAGCAUCGCGCAGGAGGCCGGGCAAGGUACAAUUCCCGCGUUACCGACGUGCCGUCGAUUAGGGUUUAGCUAAUCCGAGGUUGGUUAAAUCAUGCGGUUUCGUCUUCUAAGUGUAUAGUGUUAGUUUUAAUUAUUUAAAACUAUGAUUAAACUUGAUUUUUAAUACUUCAUUAUUAUUAUUAUUAUUAUUAUUAUUUUUAGUAUAAUAUAUAUUUUAUUAUAUAAUUAAUUAACGCUACAAAUCUAAUCUGGAUGUAUCGCAGAUUUUGGUCCAAGAGAGAUCUGAUCAAGAUCUCUCUGAUUUGAUACAUGCCUCGGGAAGGGACUGGGCUAUCCUAGUCAACCCUUGGGAAAUGGCAAGAUCUUAGUCAAGGAUCUUGCCUUGACUCUCCCGUUGGAAGCUCUCCUAUAUAAGGAGAGGUGGUGCAUUUGGGCAUAUGGGCUGGAAGCAUAACCCGAGAGCACCUCUUUGUUUUUCCUCUAAUCCUCUCUAAUAUUCUUCUACAUUAAAUACAAUAUAUAUACAUAUAUGUUCAUAUAGUCUACACUGAACUUUACUAUUUUGCUGGAUCUCUGAAAGCUUAUUGGGUUCGUGUUGCGCCACCCUGGAGACGUGCCGACGGGGUGGACAGUGGUCGUUCUAUCGCUAGGAGUGAUUGCCGGAGCCUCGUACGUGGAGGGGCAAUCUUGCUUCUAGGACAGUGCAUUCGCACGCCUCGACUCACAGGCUUCAUCUGAUCUCUUGAUCUCUAUUGCAUUAAUUAUUUAAUUUUUAUUAAGAUUUUUAAAAGCAGAAGUAGAAUAGUUUUCAUUUAAAAUUGAUUAUAAAAAUAUUUUACUAAAGAUUUUAGAAAGAGAAUAUUUAUUCCAACAUUCUAGAAGCAAGAUUAAUUUUUUCUAUUUUCGUUAGUAUAGUACACAUAAUAUUAUAUUGCUAUAAAAUAAUAUAUAUGUGUCAUGAGAUUAAUGUUAUUAUAAUUCUAUUUUCUUUAGUAUAGUAAACAGAAUAUUAUAUUGCUAUAAAAUAAUAUAUAUGUGUCAUGAGAUUAAUGUUGUUAUAAUAUAAUCCUGAACAUAUAUACACAUUGUUAUUCUUACACUGAUAAUUGGUAUUAUAAUACUUUCUUGCUGCCAUAUAUAUUUAUCUUUCAGUAUCUACAUAAUCAUACUGUUGCUGAAUAUAAUUUAGAACAUUUUACUGUUAUUUCUGUAAAACUUGGAACAGUCUUGUGACAUCAUAUUAGGAUUACUUGUAAACAGAUUUUUCAUAAUGGAGGACACGUAUUCGGCGAAACCUUUCACCUUUGAUGGUCGUAACUUUAAAAGGUGGCAGAACCAAAUGAGGUUCUGGCUCACCACACUUGGGCUUGUGUCUGCUAUCUCAGAUCCUGUCGAGAAUAGCAAUGGAUUUGCACCUGAAGGUGCAAUCCAGACUGCGGUCAAUAGACCGUAUACUCGGAGCCGAGCCCAAGCCGGAUCCACUCCUCCUGCUACUGAAACUGUACCUACACCUACAACCAUACCUCAUGUUGACCCUAAUAGGAUCAAUUAUCAUUGCAUGAACCGGAUUCUUAGUACCCUAUCUGAUAAACUGUAUGAUAUAUACUGUAAUGCUAAAACAGCUAGGGAACUUUGGACCUCCUUAGAGAACAAGUAUGGUCAGGUUGAUCCUACCCAGAAGAGAUAUCAAGCCUCAGAUUUAAUUAAGUUUAAAUUGGUGGAUAAUAAGUCUAUGUCAGACCAGCUUCAUGAUUUUGAGUAUAUAAUUGAGCAACUUAGAUCUAGUGGUGUAAAUCUUGAUAAAAGCUUUUUAGUAGCCACCCUUAUUGAUAAGUUGCCACCCUCUUGGUCGAACCAUGCAAAUGAUCUUAAUCAUAAUCAAAGGGAGCUUUCCCUGAAUUAUGUCCUCAGAUCUAUUAGGAUAGAGGAGUCGAACCGAGCUAAGGACAAGAAGCCUAGUGAACCCACAUCACAAGCCAACCUAGUAGAAAAUCUUAAAAAUAAGGGGAGAAACUUUCAGCCUCAUAGAAACAUUAAGAAGAAGCCUUUCCAUUAUAGAAAGUUUAACCCAAAUUUUAAGAAGCCUAAACCUGAUGGGAGUGGAGGCAACUCUGGUUGCUUUGUGUGCGGGAAGACCAACCACUUUGCGAAGGAUUGCUAUUUUCGCAAGACUCGGCCUUAUGCACCUAAGAAGAAAAAGAACGCUCCACCUGAGCGCCAGAUGAAUAUGUUGACUGCUGGGCCUGACCCUUCUGACUCCACUAUCAGGUUAGGAUCUAGUUUAGCUGAAGUCAACCUUGCCUAUAGUUCUUCUGAUUCGUGGAUAGAUACUGGGGCAAACAUCCAUGCUUGCUCUAAUCGCUCUUGGUUUUCCACCUAUCAGGACUCAUGUGGAGGAUCGGUGAACAUGGGGAAUGCAGCCUCUUAUUGCGUGCUUGGGACCGGUCGAGUAGAUUUGAAACUGACCUCUGGAAAGACCCUAACCUUACACGGAGUCCAUCAUGUUCCCGAUAUUAGGAAGAAUCUGAUUAGUGGUUCUCUUUUAGUUCAGCAGAGUUUUAAGUUAGUUUUUGAAUGUAAUAGGGUAGUCAUUACAAAAGGAGUGAAUUUUGUAGGGAAGGGAUUCUUAAGUGACGGUCUGUUUAAACUAUCUGUAUCUUCUCCCUCCAUUAAUGAAAGUGCACUUAUUUUGAAUGUUGAUUCUACUAAUGUUUGGCAUGGAAGAUUGGGACAUGUAAAUUAUAAUACUAUUAAAAGAUUGAUGCAUCUUGAUUUGAUUCCUAAAUCUAAAUUACCUGAUCAUAGAUGUGAGAUAUGUGUGCAAGCUAAGGAGCUUAGAAAAUCUUUUAAAUCAGUGGAUAGAGAUUGUGAUCUUUUAGAACUUGUGCAUAGUGAUGUUUGUGAUGGAAGUAGACCUACUAGAGGUGGAAAUAAAUAUUUUGUGACUUUUAUAGAUGAUCAUUCAAAAUAUUGUUAUGUUUAUUUGAUCAAGACAAAAGAUGAGGUUUUAAGCAGAUUUAAAAUUUAUAAAGCUGAGGUGGAAAAUCAAUUAGAUAAGAAAAUCAAGAUUUUAAGAUCUGAUCGAGGAGGUGAAUAUACUUCAAAGGAGAUGACUGUUUUCUGUCAAGAAUUUGGAAUUGUACAUCAAGUAACUGCACCUUAUACACCUCAAUCUAAUGGAGUUGCUGAACGAAAGAAUAGAACUUUAAUGGAUAUGGUGAACUCGAUGAUUAUUAGUUCAAGUGCACCCGAGAACUUGUGGGGGGAAGCUUUGAUUUCUGCAUGUGUGAUUUUAAAUAGAAUUUCCCACAAGAGUUCUAAUACGUCUCCCUAUGAGUUUUGGAAAGGUAGAAAGCCUAAUUUGAAUUAUUUUAAAGUGUGGGGGUGCCUAGCUAAAGUUAAGAUACCUGAGAAUAAAAGAAGGAAGAUUGGACCUAAAACUGUAGAUACAGUUUUUAUAGGUUAUGCAUUAGAUAGCAAUGCCAACAGAUUCUUAGUGGUGAACUCUGAGAUUAGUGAGAUUUCUAACAACACCAUUAUUGAAGCUAGAGAUGCAGUGUACUUUGAGAAUAUUUUUCCUUUUAGGACCAGAGUAGAUAGAGCUACUCCAGUUGAGCCUGUAGGUAGCUCUAGUGGACCUAGAGUCAGUGAACCUACAGAAGAGAUUGAACCUAGGAGAAGUAAGCGUCCUAGAAUAGAGAAAACAUUUGGAGAUGAUUUUUGUGUCCUACUAGUUGAAGACACUCCAUUUACCUUUGACCAAGCUAUGAAGUCUGUAGAUGCGUCAUUUUGGAAAGAUGCUAUUAAUCUUGAGAUGCAGUCCAUUCUACAGAAUAAUACUUGGGAGUUGACUGAUUUACCUCAAGGAUGUAAACCUGUAGGCUGUAGAUGGAUCUUUAAGAAGAAGCUGAGACCCGAUGGUUCUGUAGAAAAGUAUAAGGCUAGACUAGUAGCACAAGGUUUUGCACAGAAGCCAGGUGUAGAUUAUUUUGAUGUGUAUGCACCUGUUGCUAGAAUUACCUCAAUCAGAAUAUUGAUAGCCUUAGCUUCUGUCCAUGAUUUGAUUGUUCAUCAAAUAGAUGUUAAGACAGCAUUUCUGAAUGGUGACUUAGAUGAAGAGAUCUAUAUGAAGCAACCUGAAGGUUUUGUAGUUUCUGGUCAUGAAAAUAAAGUGUGCAAAUUAACAAGAUCUCUAUAUGGACUCAAGCAAGCUCCUAAGCAGUGGCACUUGAAAUUUGAUUCUUUAGUUGUAUCAAAUGGCUUUCAUGUGAACAUGUCUGAUGAAUGUGUAUAUUCAAAGGAAUAUAACGGACAGAUUGUAAUCUUAUGUCUGUACGUUGAUGAUAUUUUGAUCUUUGGUACUAAUAUAAAUGUGAUACAUGAUGUGAAGAAAUUACUGAAUGAGAAUUUUGAUAUGAAGGAUCUUGGGCAAGCAGAUGUAAUUCUCAAUAUGAAAAUUAUUAGAAAAUCAAAAGUUGUUGUUAUGAGUCAAUCACACUAUAGUGAACAGUUACUGAAGAAAUUUGGAUAUUUUGAUGUUAGACCUGUAGUAACACCUUAUGAUUCUAGUGUACACCUUAAAAAGAAUAGAGGUGAUCCAAUCGGUCAGAAUAGAUAUGCACAGAUUAUAGGAUCUCUGGGAUAUCUAGUAGACUAUACUAGACCUGAUUUGGCUUAUGCUGUGAACAGAUUGAGAAGAUAUACCCAUAAUCCAAAUAGAGAGCAUUGGAAUGCUUUAGAAAGAGUUUUGAGAUACCUAAAGGGAACUGUGUCUUAUGAAUUACAUUACAGUGGUUUUCCUGCAGUAUUAGAAGGAUAUAGUGAUGCCAAUUGGAUUAGUGAUACAGCUGAUAUAAAGUCGACUACUGGAUUUAUUUUUCUCCUAGGAGGAGCAGCUGUUUCUUGGAAGUCAAUCAAACAGUCUUUGAUCGCUAGAAGUACCAUGGAAUCUGAACUCAUAGCAUUAGAUACCACUGUAGCAGAGGCUAAGUGGAUUAGAGAGUUUCUUUAUGAUCUGCCACUGAUGGAGCGACCUUUAGCACCUGUGUGUAUUCAUUGUGAUUGUAGAUCUGCAAUUGAUAAAUGUGCCCAAGAGAAUGUGGAGACUAAAAUGAAUAGAUUUAUGAAAGUGAGACAUAAGUUCAUUCGACAAAAUAUGAAGGAAAAUGUAAUUGCCCUGGAAUUUGUGAGAUCUGCGAAGAACUUGGCUGAUCAGCUUACGAAGGGAUUAUCUAGGACUGUAAUCCAAGAAUUGUCGAGGGGGAUGGGGCUUAGCCCACAAUAGUAGUUACCGGCGACGGCAACCCAACCUAUUGCAGGUUCAAUGGGUAAAAACAAGUCGAACAGGUAGCUGUGAGGAGCACUGCUUUUUGUAUCCUCAUCCCUAUGACGACAGUGCUCAUAUCUGCAAGUUGAUAGGAAGGGCAUUGGCCCUGAAUGGUUCCGAGACCCAUGAGGCAGGGUGUGACCUUGCAGACACCCUUCUGAGGACCUACUAUAUGUGUGGAGUUGUGAGGCCGCGACUAUGGGAAGAGGGCAGUUCCCUAAAACACACAUGAAACGAUAUUAGCGCAUGGCCGUAAUAGCGCUCACCCGCUUAGAACCUAAACGGCUGUACCAUGUGUGCGGUUUGUGGAAAUCAGAUUCACCGGCCUUGGUUCAAGGCAAAAAGUCCACCAUUGUGCCCUCCGAUGUACAUAAACAAGCACUAAGUGAAGGUUCAAACCCGAAAGGUACCUUCGCCGAAUACGUGGUAUAAGAGAUCCAGCAUUCUUUUGAGUUGUUUUCUGAAUUUUAGCUUUAUUUACUUUCUUUAUCUGAAGUUUUAAAUCAUAUGGGGGAAUGUUAGUUUUAAUUAUUUAAAACUAUGAUUUAAAACUUGAUUUUAAUAUUAUUAUUAUUAUUAUUAUUAUUAUUAUUAUAUAUAUAUAUAUAUAUAUAUAUAUAUUAAUUAACCCUACAAAUCUAAUCUGGAUUGUAUCCAGAUUUGGUCCAAGAGAGAUCUUGAUCAGAUCUCUCUUGAUUUGAUACAUGCCUCGGGAAGGGACUGGGCUAUCCUAGUCAACCCUUGGGAAAUGGCAAGAUCUUAGUCAAGGAUCUUGCCUUGACUCUCCCGUUGGAAGCUCUCCUAUAUAAGGAGAGGUGGUGCAUUUGGGCAUAUGGGCUGGAAGCAUAACCCGAGAGCACCUCUUUGUUUUUCCUCUAAUCCUCUCUAAUAUUCUUCUACAUUAAAUACAAUAUAUAUACAUAUAUGUUCAUAUAGUCUACACUGAACUUUACUAUUUUGCUGGAUCUCUGAAAGCUGACAACUGGAUCAACCAGACAAGACGUAAGGAGAUGAGUCAAUAAAGGUACAACUAUAGUACGAAUCCUCAUCUCAACUGAAUAGACAAGUGAUAUAGACACUAAACUAACCCGCCAAGGGGUAAACUAUAGAUACUGGAUAAGCCAGCUCAACGAUGUCAAGAUAGAACUGUAUGCAUCGGCUAAUCAACGACUACCGGAUAUGCCAGCCACACGGGACUCNCCGACCUAACAGCCGAUCAACGGCUACCUACUAGAAACUCGUAUGAUGUAACUAGCGGUGACGUCCAUGCGUAAAGUGCUUGUGGUCGCCAGACUAGGUGGCGUUCUCCCACAAGAAAAGGCCUUUUCACCAACCUAACGGUUGGGCACUCGGGUCCCCGAAAUAACGCUCCCAUAUACGAAGACUGGGUCCCCGAAGUAACGCUCCCAGUCCAUGAUACGAAGACUGGGUCCCCGAAGUAACGCUCCCAGUCCACGUCCAACUCGUCACACCGUACCCGGACUCCAGAAGCCUGGUUAUCCCGUCGCUCUAACCCAUGAAAACUCGAAUAGCAGUCAACUGCGUACGUAUGUCAUCGACAUCACAAAUAAAAGUCAUGUAGGAAUAGACAAAUAACAUCGAUGACAAAAUAAAUGGACGUAGAUAUGAACAGUCGAGGAAUGAAUAGUCGUAGAAAUGAAUGGUCGUGAAUACAGAUAGAUCAAGAAGCACAACAACAUAUCGAGAGAAGNACUAGGCCACUCAUGAGGAGCGGAAGAAGCCGAACGCCAUGGGUGACCCUCCCCUCUGUACAAAUGUACAAGAGUGGAGGGGGUGGUAAAAAGUCCAUAGCGUCCGCUACACAAAACCCUGCUCUGCACUCCAUGCAAGCAUCACCAGCUAUCUCGAAGGCUGGGUCCAACAAGCCAAAUCAAAGAAUGGGAAGAAUAAAGUCAGCUACAUAUCAAAUCAACCCAAUACACCAAGUCACAAAUAAAUGUAAACUUUUACACCUAAAGACCUAAAACAUUUUAUUUUCAAAAGAUGGGGAGCACCAUCAUAAAAAUUUCUUAUUUCCAAGGACACAUCCCUUGUUAAAAGUUUUCUAAAAGAUACCUAAAUACAAAUCUGUACCUUAUGUUUAAACACUACACUUACCACUUACAUACUUACAUAUCAUUAAAGAUAUAAGUAAAUCAACACCAACAUAGGACACACAUGACAACAUGAACACGCUGCGGCACGUUUAUGUCCCCUCUGAGACAGGCACACUUGUCACCUUAGGGACAUAAACACCGCCUAGACCGUAUGAGACCCCAGUCCAAAAGUUUUUUUUUUUUUUUUUUAAGUCUGCGAAAAGUCGAUAGAAGAUUUGAGUUUCCCUGGGGCCCCGCACUGUCGUGCAGAGGUCCCACCGCGUUGUGCUUGGGUUAUNGAUUUCAACACAGGUCAUUUCUAACUCAUAUUUCACUUCUCUAAAUCCAAUAAAAAUAGUAUCUCAUACUAUUUUUAUUUAUUUCUAUUUUUAUAUUUAAAUCCGGUAUAUUACAUUACACUGCAACCUUACCGGAACAAGUUAAAUGUACACUGUAACUUCAUAUUUUUAGAAGUCCGGUACCUUACAGGUACACAGCUGCAUUUUAGCACGGCGUUCCACCCGCAGACAGAUGGUCAGUCAGAGCGGACCAUACAGACUCUUGAGGACAUGCUGAGGGCAUGCGUCCUGGAUUUUGGAGGAGGGUGGUAUCGACAUGUGAGACUGGUUGAGUUUGCGUACAACAACAGCUAUCAAACGAGCAUUCAAAUGGCUCCGUUUGAGGCGUUGUAUGGACGCAGAUGUCGAUCCCCACUGUUUUGGAGCGAUGUGGGUGAGAGGAGGACACUUGGACCGGAGAUUCUACUUGAGGCUGAGGAAAAGGUGAGAGUCGUUCGACGACACCUUUUGACAGCACAGAGCCGACCGAGGAGCUACGCCGAUACCAGGAGACGAGACUUGGAGUUUCAGGUUGGAGAUCAUGUUUUUCUCAAAGUCUAGCCGUCCAGAGGGAUACGCCGUUUUGAAGUACGUGGAAAGCUUAAACCACGGUUUGUUGGCCCUUUCGAGAUAUUGGAGCGUAUGGGACCGGUGGCUUACAGGAUAGCUCUACCCCCGCGACUUGCUGGCAUCCAUGAUGUUUUCCACGUCUCAGCACUGAGGAGAUACGUUUUCGACCCCUCUCACGUGAUUGACUUCACUCCACUCGAGAUUAGCGAGGAUCUGAGAUACGAGGAGCGACCGUUGCGGAUUCUUGCUCGUGAGAUGAAAGAAUUGCGCAACCGGGUCAUUCCGUAUGUGAAAGUGCAGUGGAGCCAUCACGAGGAGCGGGAGGCGACUUGGGAGCCUGAGACGGUGAUGAGGGAAGAUUAUCCCUACCUGUUUGAUGCCUAAGCAGAGGUAUGUUUCAGUUUCGCGGACGAAACUUUUUAUAGAGGGGGAGGAUGUGAGAUCCCUUGUGUUCAGCUGUGGAGGCUUGCCGAUAGCUCUGGAGAGUGUCGGGACAAGUCCGAGUCGUGUUGGCAUCAAAUAGACGUAAAACGGACUCCGUGCGACUCGAGGGCAGCUUAUAGCGAAGAUAUCUGCAAAACUACAGAUUUCUCUGCUUGCUGUACCGGUACAACCAGCGCGGCUGUACCGGUACAACCAUCGCGCAGAGGUUUAGCAGCUCUCGGGUUGGCUCUUGUACCGGUACAAGAGCCCGUGUACCGGUACAAGGGGGUAGGUAGAGGGUUAAUUUGGUAAUUCCCUCCCUCGUUUGUGUCACCCCUUUUUUCCUCAGCUUAUAUACUGAGGAGAGGAGUUGAGAAAAGGGUUUAUUGUUCCUUCGUCUCUCUCUCUCUCUAGUCCUGGUCGUGAGCAAGGAAGAGAGCUCGGAUUCAUCGCCGACGUCGCGCCGCGAAGCCGUUCGGGUAUACGGUUGGGAUCGUAACGCUGCGAGGAAGCUAGGCGAGGGUGCGUUUUCGCCGUUCUCGACGCCAUGUCGCUGUCCGAUUAGCUUUUGAGGUGAGUGUUCCGUUGCAUUGCUUCAAGCAUUGUCCUUUCGAGCUUGGUGCUGAUUUGCAGAAUUUCCAGCGUCGACCGUCAGUAUUUCGGUUCGUACUCGGCGUAGGAGCGUCGGUUUUCAACGGGACUUGGUUCGUUGGAUUCGGGACUGCGAGAGAAAUCCGUGAAGCCCUUACUUGCUGAAUUUGGUGAAGGUUAGCUUGGUCGAAUCCUUGUUGUACUCCACUGCUGCGAAAACUAGACUGAAACGGUGAAUUGUUUGGUGUAGAGCUUGGAGUUAGCGCGAUCCUUGGGUUCGAAAGGCUACGAUCGACCCAGCAGGUGGCGCCACAGCUGUGAGAGUGUACCGCUGCCAGGGGAUAGCUUUCGAGGUGGGUUUACAUCGGUUUAUUCCUAAGUACCGUAAUCGUCGACAUGUAUGAUUUUUCAGUUUCGGUAAUCAUGUUGUAGCUUGCUAUUCGUGAUGCUAUCCUAGAUAAAAUCAGUAUUGAGAACAUGACUAGUAAAUCUUAAAUGUACAUGUUGGACUGGGAUUUGACUUAGGAGAAAACACGAUUGGAAUCGUCAUAUGCUUAAACUACCAGAUUUAGCUCUAGGAGCCGUGAUUCGAUUGUAUCGUUGCAGUAUCGUUGCGAUGGAUACCUGGGGUAGUUUAGAAGGCAUUUACGCUCGUGCUGAGAUGCCGAGCUUAUUUUUCAGCAGAGUUUAGGCUGUUUCGGGUCGUUGGGUGCCGUUCGGGUUAGCGGUGGACCCAGAUUCUUGUUUUGGUCACAGAUUGUGCCGAGGGCACGUGGGUUUGGUUUGUAGACCUGUUUUGACCCUGUUCACUUGACUUUGGCUAGUUGGAGCCUGAUUGAGCUCGACAGAGAUACGCUGCAUACUCGGUUGGGUAGCGCCCACGAGUGCCACUCCGGAGUCAGGCUUUGUGCUUUCGCGUUGGUGUCGCUCAUGCCAGUUGGACUUGCUCUCCACGGACCAGUUAGUGUGGAUAGAGCCCGAUAGUCGCAACGGGGCAGGGACGGGUGUAUUCACAGUGCCGGGGACGGGUAUGAUUACAGUCCCGAUUGGAUUGGGUCAGAGUUGACAUUUCCUAUAGUUGGUUAGUAUAGAGCAUGAUAGUGUAGUGAUCGAUAGCGGUAGAGUUUAUUUCCUGCUUUUCUGACUACUCUUGCUCCCUUCUGUAGACUUGGUGGGUGGACCGAUGUUGUUUUGGGCGGUACCCACUGAGGACUACUUGUUUUUACAGUAGUUCUCACACCCAGUUGUUACCUAUAUUUUUGCAGAGCCACAGGUUUCGGCUGCUGCGCCUUCCGCGGACCAGGAUGGAGGCAAGGGCGUCGCGAGUUAGAGCCCUACUCGACGUGCUGAGCUAGAGGUGCCCCUACUGCAGGUAGAUGUUUUGUUUCGAGUUUAUGUACAUAGUUGACUUAACUCGCCAGUGCGAGUAGCUCUGUAUUUUGGAUUUGGACUAUGUAUAUGAAACUCAGUUUGUUUAGCUUAUGUUUUCUCUAGCAGCUCUCUACUACUGUUCGUAGUAGUGUUUGAUUUACAGGUACAGCUGUCGCUUCGUAUAUAGGAAAAAUUUCUUUGUAUACGGUGGAUUUGUCGGCGUGCCCGGGGAACGAGACAUCCGGGGCGUGACAAAAUGAGUAGUAAUAGAAUGACUAACCGAGCAUAAUAUAAAAUAAACUGGUAAAUACAGUACUAUCGUGCCUCCAGAGAAACAAGGGGUGUAAAUGAGCUAUAGAAAAGUAUCUACUGUAAGCAUAUCUCUAUAUGAACAAUGGGGCAGCAAAAGUCAUUGUGCAUGAAUUGGAUAUUGAUAAAUAAGGUCAUAAUCCCAAUCGCACAGGCCGGCUCAUCCGACCAAGCUUGCAUCGGCGCAUGCUCGAUAACCACACUGACCUAGCGGCCCCGCCCACAUGCGUACAUCUAGCACAUCUAAUCAGCCGCCAUAGCUCUAGAGAGGCGCUUAUGGAGCACGACCCCACCAAGUAUUACGAUGUCACACUGCUCGUAACCGAGCUCAAUCCAACCCAAUGCAGACUAUGGUCAUGUGCAAUGAUCAAUUAGAUCAUAAAUGUACUGUCUCAAAUCUCAGUCAUAGUCAUAAUCUGCUAUCCUGUUCUCCAAAGUCACAAACAUAGGUCAUAUGUCUGUAAUUGGUUUAGCAAUUUUAUAGAUUUGCAUAUAACACAGGAUCACAUUAAGAAGAAUAUGUGACAAUAGUACAGAAUCACAGUCCACAUAAAUAUAAUAGCAUUAAUGAUAAAUGAACUCAUAUACAUAUGGAUAUGCCGGGAAGAAAAUAACUACAAUAUAUAGUAAAGCGAGCAUGUGUACAUCGAAGAACUGUAACAGGUAUAAAAAUAGAUAUAAAGGUUAGUUCACCGUAUUCGGCGAUGUGGAACCCACCUGGAUCAAUGCCUUGAAAUCUGAAUUGAAAGAUUGAGAAAAAGAAGGCUCAUCACCAGUAUCACACCAAAAUCAUCCUAAAAUAUAGUAUUAUCAUUCUCAUUUACUACAACAACAUCGUUACAAAAAUUGCAAUUAAAAUACAGUUUACAUUCUACCUACCUUUAAAUUCGCAAUUCCCAAAGUCGUCGAUUUGAUCACAUACGCGUCACGGUCUCGAAAUCUUUCUUUUUCCCUCUCUCUCUCCCCGUCUUUUUGCAUGCAACAGGGAAAAGAAAGAGCCUUCAACCAGUUCAAUAUAAUGUAACAAUUGUAUAUAAGCCCUUCAAAUUGUUAGUUUUAAUUAUUUAAAACUAUGAUUUAAAACUUGAUUUUAAUAUUAUUAUUAUUCAUAUAUAUAUUAAAUAACCCUAUAAAUCUAAUCUGGAUUUUAUCUAGAUUUUGUCCAAGAGAGAUCUUGAUCAGAUCUCUCUUGAUUUGAUACAAGCCUCGGGAAGGGGCUGGGCUAUCCUAGUCAACCCUUGGGAAAUGGCAAGAUCCUAAUCAAGGAUCUUGCCUUGACUCUUUCCGUUGCAAGCUCUCCUAUAUAAAGAGAGUUAUGGUGCAUUUGGGCAUAUGGGCUGUGAGCAUAACCCGAGAGCACCUCUUUGUUUUUCCUCUAAUCCUCUCUAAUCUUCUUCUAUAUUAAAUACAAUAUAUAUACAUAUAAGUUCAUAUAGUCUACACUGAACUUUACUAUUUUGCUGGAUCUCUGAAAGCUUAUUGGGUUCGUGUUGCGCCACCCUGGAGACGUGCCGACGGGGUGGACAGUGGUCGUUGUAUCGCUAGGAGUGAUUGCCGGAGCCUCGACGGAGGGCAUCUUUGCUUCUAGACAGUCAUUCGGCACAAGCCCGACCACGGAGUGCUUCAACUCUAAUGUCUUAAUUCUAUUGCAUUAAUUAUUAAUUUUAUUAAGAUUUUAAGCAGAAGUAGAAUAUUUCAUUUAAAAUUGAUUAUAAUAAAUUUUUACUAAGUUAGAAAAGAGAAUAUUUAAUUCAACCGUAAAGCAAAUUAAUUUUUUUUUUAUUUCUUUAGUACGUACACAUAAUAUAUAUUUGCUAUAAAAAUAAUUAUAAAUUUUAUUUGUUAUGGAGAUGAAGUAUUAAUUGCUAUUUUCGUUAUAUAUUGAAACAGAAUUAUUAUAAUUGCUAAGAAAUAAUAUAUAUGUCAUGAGAUUAAUGUUGUUAUAAUAUAUAUCUGAACAUUAUAUACACUUGUUAUUUCACUGAUAAUGGUAUUUAUGAGAUACUUUCUUCGCUGCCAUAAUAAUAUUAUCUUUCAGUAUCUACAUAAAUAUGUUGCUGAAUAUAAUUAGAACAUUUUACUGUGUCUUGCUAAAACUUGUAAACAGUCUUGUACAUCAAUAGAUUACGUGAAACAGAUUUUUCAUAAUGCAAGGACCACGUAUCCGAAACUUUCACCUUUGUGGUCGCUAACUUUAAGUGGAGAACAAAUGAGGUUCUGGCUCAUCCACAGCCUUGGGCUUGUGUCUGCUAUCCCAGAUCCUGUCGAUAAUAGCAAUGGAUUGCACGCUGAAUGGCAAUCGCAGAUCUGCGGUCUAACAGACCGUAUACUCAGAGCCGACCAAGCCGGAAGCCACUCUCUCCUGCAUGAAACUGUACCUAAUUCUACAACGCAUACCUCAUGUUGACUCCUAAUGGAUCAACUAUCAUUGCAUGAACUGGAUCUUAGUACCUAUCUAAAUAAACUGUAUGCAUAUAUACUGAAUGCUAAAUAACUAGGAAACUUUGGACCUCCUAGAGACAAGUAGGCAGGUUGAUCCCACCAAAGAGAUACCAAGCUCAGAGUUAUUAAGUUUAAAUGGUGAUAAUAAGUCUAUGUAGUACGCACUUCAUGAUUUUGAGUAUAUAAUGAGCAACUUAGAUCUAGUGUGUAAAUUUCGUGAAAGCUUUUAGUAGCCACUGCCUUAUGAUAAGUUGGCCACACACCUCUUGGUCCGACCGGCAAAUGAUCUAUCAUAAUCAACAAGGGAGCUUUCCCUGAAUAUAUGUUCCUCAGAUCUAAGAUAGAGGAGUCGAACCGAGCUAAGACAAGAAGCCAUAGGAAUCCCACAUCACAAGCCAAACUAUAGAAAAUCUUAAAAAUAAGGGGAGAAACUUUCAGCCUCAUAGAAACAUUAAAAGAAGCAUUUCCAUUAUAGAAAUUUUAACACCAAUUAAGAGCCUAAACCUGAUGGGAGUGAGGCAACUCGUUGCUUUGUGCGGGCCAGACGCACCACUUUGCAAGGAAUUUGCUAUUUCGGCAAAGACUCGCCUUAAGCACCUAAGAAAGAGUAAGAACGCGUCACCUAAAGCGCCAGAUGAACUAGGUUGACUGGCUGGCCUGAACCCUUGCUCCACUAUCAGGUUAGGAUCUAGUUUGCUGAAGUCAAACCCUUGACUAAUUCUUCUGAUUGGAUAGAUACUCGGGGUCAAACUGCAUGCUUGCUUCUAAUCGUCUUGUUUUCCACAUAUCCAGGACUCAUGUGGAGGAUCGUGGAAGCCAUGGGAAUGCAGCCCUCUUGCGUGCUUGGUGACCGGGCCGAGUAAUUUGAAACCUGAUCGCGCUGGGAAGAACCCUAACCUUAACAUCGGAGUCAAUCAUGUUCCAUAUUAGCAAGAAUCUGGAUUAGUGGUUCCGUGUUAGUUCAGCAGAGUUUUAAGUUAGUUUUGAUAUGAAUGGCGUACGUCAUUCAAGAAAGGAGUGAAUUUUAGUAGGGAGGAUUCUUAAGUGACGUCUGUUUAAGAAACUAUCUGUAUCUCUCCCUCCAUUAAUGAAAGUGCACUUAUUUGAAUGUUGAUUCUACUAAUGUUUGGCAAUGGAAGAUGGACAUGUUAAAUAUAAUACAUUAAAGAUUGAGGGCAUCUUGAGUUGAUUCCAAAUUAAAUACCUGAUCAUAGAUGUGAGAUAUGUGUGCAAGCAUGGAGCGCUAGAAAAUCUUUAAAUCAGUGGAUAGAGAGUAUUCUUUUAGCAACUUGUGUAAGUGAUGUUGUGAUGGAAUGUAGACCAUAUAGAGGUGAAAUAAAUAAUUUGUGACUUUUAAGAUGUAUCAAUUCAAAGUAUUUGGUUAUGUUUAAUUGAUCCAGCAAAAGAUGAGUUUUAAGCAGAUCUUAAAAUUAUAAAGCUGAGUGGAAAAUAAAUUAGAAUCAGAAAUCAAGAUUUUAAGAUCUGAUCGAGGAGGUGAUUAUACUCAAGGAGAUGACUGUUUCUGUCCAAGAAUUUGAAUUGUACAUCAAGUAAUUGCACCUUAUACUCCUCAUUAAUGGAGUUGCUGAACGAAAGAAUAGAACUUUAAUGAAUAGGUCGAACCGAUGAUAUUAGUCAAGUGCCCCGAGGAACUUUGUGGGGGAAGCUUGAUUCUGCAUGUUGUGAUUUAAAUCGAAGAAUUCCCACGAAAGACGUUUCUAAAUACCUCUCCCUAUGGAGUUUUGGAAAGGUAGAAAGCCAAUUUUGAAAUUAAUUAAAGUGUGGGGGUGCCAGCUAAGUAAGAUACCUUGAGAAUAAAAAGAAGGAAGAUUGGACCUAAAACUAUAUGAUACAGUUUUAUAAGGUAUGCUUUAGAUAAGCAUACCAACAGAUUCUUAUGGGAAGCUUCAGAGAUUAGUGAAUUUCUAACAAACCAUUUAUGAAGCUAGAGAUGCAGUGUCUUUGAGGAUAUUUUUCUUUUAGACCAGAGUAGAUAGAGCUAGCUCCAGUUGAAGCCUAAGGUACUCUAUGGAACCUUAGAGUUAAUGAACCUACUAGAAGAGAUUGAACCUAGGAGAAUAAGCGUCUAGAAUAGAGAAACAUUGGAGAGUGAUUUUUGUGUCUACUAUUGAUGACACUCCACUACCUUGACCAAGCUAUGAAGUCGUAGAUGCUCAAUUUGGAAAAUGCCUAUUAAUCUAGUGCAGCUCAUUCACACGAAUAAUAGUUUUUCACUUGGGAGGUUACUGAUUUGCUUUCAGAAAAAUUAGUAAACGGUGUAGGCCUGUAGAUGGAUUUUAAGUAAGAAGUUGAGAGCCGAUGGUCUCCUGUAGAAAGUAUAAGGCUAGACUAUACACAAGUUUUUGCAUAGAAACCAGGUGUAGAAUUAUUGAUUGUAGCACCGUUGCCUAGAAUACCUCACAGAAUAUUUGAUAGCUUAGCUUACUGUCCAUGGUUUGAUGUUCAUCAAUGGAUGUUAAGACAACAUUUCUGAAUGGUGACUUAGAUGAAGAGAUCUAUAUGAAGGCAACCUGAAGAGUUUUGUAGUUCUGGUCAAUGGAAAAUAAAGUGUGCAAAUUAACAAGAUCUCUAUAUGGACUCAAGCAAGGACUCCUAAGAGUGGCAUUUGAAAUUUGGUUCUUAGUUUGUAUCAAAUAGCUUCAUUGGAACUGUCUGAUGAAUGUGGAUAUCAAGAGAAUAUAACGGACAGACGUUAAUCUUUAUGUUUACGUAUGGAGGAUAUUUUUUGAUCUUGUACUAGAAUAUGAUUGAUACAGUGAGUGAAGAAUUACUGAAUGAGAAUUUUGAUAUUGAAGGAUCUUGGGAAGGCAGAUUAAUUCUCAAUAUGAAAAUUAUUAGAAAAUCAAAGUUGUUUGUUAUGAGUCACUCACACUAUAGUGAACAGGUUUACUUGAAGAACUUUGGAUAUUUGAUUGUUAGACCUGAGAUAACACCUUAUGAUCAGUUGUCACACUAAAAAGAAUAGAGGUGAUCCCAAAUCGGUCAGAAAGAUCUGCACAGAUUUAUAGGAUCCUGGAUAUGCUAGAUAGACUAUACCUACGACUGAUUUGGCCUUAUGCUGUGAACAGAUUAGAAGAAAUACCCAUAUCCAAAUUAGAGGUAGAUUGGAAUGCUUUUAGAAAAGUUUUGAGAUACUGAAGGGAACUGUGUGCUAUGGAUUACUUACAGGUGGUUUUCCUGCAGAUAGAAGGAGAUAGUAGCCAAUGAUUAUGAUACAGCUGAUAUACAAGUCGACCUAACCUGGAUUAUUUUUCUGCCUAGGAGAGCAGGUGUUUCUGGCAAGUCCAACCUAAAGCAUCUUUGAUCGCUUAGAAGUCCAUGAAUCGAACUCAUCGCAUUAGAUACCACUGUAAGCAGAGGCUAAGUGGAUUAGAGAGUCUUGAUGAUCUGCCACUGAUGGACGACGCUUUUAGCCCUGUGUGUAUCAUUGGAUUGUAGUCUGCAAUGGUAUAAAUGUGCAAGAGAAGUGAGACGUAGAAAUGAAUAGAUUAUGAAAGUGAACAUAAAGUUAUUCGAAAAAUACGAAGGAAAUGUAAUGCGCUGGAUUUGUGAGAUCUGCGAUAGAACUUGGCUGAUCAGCUACGAAAGGAUAACUAGACUGUAAUCCAAGAAUUGUCGAUGGGGAUGGCGGCUUCAAGCCCACAAUAGUAGUUAUCAUGGCGACGGCACCGCCAACCUGUUGUCACAGGUCAAUGGUAAAAACAGUCGAACAGGUAGCUUGAGGAGCACUGCUUUUUGUAUCCCAUAUCCCUAUGACGACACGUAGCUGUUAUCUCAAGUGGAUAAGAAGGUGCAUUGGCCCUGAAUGGUUCCGAGACCGAACAGAGGAGGGUGUGACUUCGCAUACACUACUAGGAUACUAUAUGUGUGGAGUUGGAGGCCGCGACUAUGGGAAGAGGCAGUCCUACAAAACCACACAUGAAGCGAUAUAGACGCAUGGCGCGUAAUAGCGGCUCACCGGCGUGCGGCCUUAGAACCUAAACGGCUGUAUCCAUGUGUGGGGCGGUUUGUGGAAAUCAGAUUCACAUCGGCCUUGGCUUCAAGGCGAACAUUCCACACAUUGUGCCCUCCGAAUGUAAGUAAACAAGCACUAAGCUGGAAGGUUCAAACACCGGAAAGGUACGUUCGCCGAAUACUCGGAUAAGAGAUCCAGCAUUCUUUGAUUGUUUUUGAAUUUUAGCUUAUUUACAUUCUUUAUCUGAAGUUUUAAAUCAUGUGGGGACUGUUAGUUUUACCAUUAUUAAAACUACUGAUCUUAAAACUUGAUUUAAUAUUUAUUAUCAUUAUAAUAUUAAAUAACCCUAUAAAAUCUAAUCAUUGGAAUUUUAUCCUAGACUUUUGCUCAAGAGAAUCUUGCAAUCAAUCUCUCUUGAUAUUGAGUACAAGCCCGGAAGGGGCUGGCUAUCUAGUCAACCUUGGAAAUGCAAAGAUCCUAAUCAAGGAUCUUGCCUUGACUUCUUUCCGUGCAGAGCUCUCCUAAUACAAAGGAGUUAUGUGCAUUGGGGCAUAUGGGCUGUGAGCAUAACCCGAGACACCUCUUUGUUUUCCUCUAAUCCUCUCAAAUCUCUUCUAUAUAAACUACAUAUAUAUGUACAUAUAAUGUCAUAUAUCACUCACUAACUUUCACUAUUUUGCUGGAUCUCUGAACAACUUAUUGGGUUGGUGUUGCGCCAACCCCCUAGAGGACGUGCGCGCAGGUGGACAGUGUCGUUGUAUCGCUAGGCAGGAUUGCCNNNNNNNNNNNNNNNNNNNNNNNNNGUCCAAGAGAGAUCUUGAUCAGAUCUCUCUUGAUUUGAUACAAGCCUCGGGAAGGGGCUGGGCUAUCCUAGUCAACCCUUGGGAAAUGGCAAGAUCCUAAUCAAGGAUCUUGCCUUGACUCUUUCCGUUGCAAGCUCUCCUAUAUAAAGAGAGUUAUGGUGCAUUUGGGCAGAUGGGCUGUGAGCAUAACCCGAGAGCACCUCUUUGUUUUUCCUCUAAUCCUCUCUAAUCUUCUUCUACAUUAAAUACAAUAUAUAUACAUAUAUGUUCAUAUAGUCUACACUGAACUUUACUAUUUUGCUGGAUCUCUGAAAGCUUAUUGGGUUCGUGUUGCGCCACCCUAGAGACGUGCCGACGAGGUGGACAGUGGUCGUUGUAUCGCUAGGAGUGAUUGCCGGAGCCUCGUACGUGGAGGGGCAAUCUUGCUUCUAGGACAGUGCAUUCGCACGCCUCGACUCACAGGCUUCAUCUGAUCUCUUAAUCUCUAUUGCAUUAAUUAUUUAAUUUUUAUUAAGAUUUUUAAAAGCAGAAGUAGAAUAGUUUUCAUUUAAAAUUGAUUAUAAAAAUAUUUUACUAAAGAUUUUAGAAAGAGAAUAUUUAUUCCAACACAAAUUACAAAAAUUCUAUUUUUAGUGAAAAUGAUACAUUUUGGGUGCUCUUAUCCAUGCUUCGAGCGUCUGAAAUAUCCUGUUCAAGCCAUUUCGGACAUCCCCUCUUGCAUCCGGUGGCCUCGGUGGCCAUUUCGGACAUCCCCUCUUGCAUCCGGUCAUCUAGAACCCAUCGUUGGGAGCGCUCGGAUCCUUUUCCGUGCUCUGGUUCCUGCAUCCGAUAUGCUUAAUCAUUGAUUUUGAUGAGUCAGCGGAGUCACCAAAAUCACCAACUUAAUCAUCGACUAAAUUUCAGAUUGUUAUAGUAAUACUGGGAGUCCAGAACUAGGGUCCGAAACCCAUUCGGAUGCACCUUCAGUAGUUCCGGGUGGUCCCAAACCUGUAUUCCGAGUUUAAAUGAGCCAGUACAGUGUUUCUGGGGGCCCUAAUCCAGUUUUGAGCGUCUGAAAGUAGGCAAAAACUCCAGAUUAAAUCAGAACUCAAGUCUAAUCUCGUUUUCGAUUCGAUUUCGUGCUAAAAUGGUUUUAACUCAAUGCAACACUCUUGUAACAUAUUGAUUAAUAGUCCAAACUAUAACUUUAUUAAUUUAGCAAAGUCCAGUACUUAACAAGCACGUAGUAGGGAUGCAUAUGUAUCCAGAUUGGUAAAGAUGCCACCCCUAACCCUUUCCCAAUGAAGUGAUAAGCGAGAGCUAAAAAAUAAGAAAAAUAAAUACGUUUCGAAUCUGCCCCAAUCUACUACAAAAUGAAAUGUAAAGCAGAUAUCCCUUUCAUUUUUUUNUGAUAAGCGAGAGCUAAAAAAUAAGAAAAAUAAAUACGUUUCGAAUCUGCCCCAAUCUACUACAAAAUGAAAUGUAAAGCAGAUAUCCCUUUCAUCCUGCCCAAAAUUUGCCUAGAAUUCGCUCCUGACCCGCCAGGAAGCGGAAUAGGAGGUGGGAGGUCCCUCCUGCCCUCGGAUCCACCCUGUUUGCAUUCCUAGCCUAAAGUUUGACAAAAGUAUUAUUUUUGUACUCCAUAAUUUUAUUGCACACCUAAAUCUCAUUUAGCAUAAAUAAAUUAUAGUAACAAAAGGAUGCAAAAUGUUAUCAAUCAUAAACAGUCUGAUGAGAAUGGUAAAAUAUAAUUUUUAUUAUAGUAUGAUUUAUAGUUUAUCAUCUAAUUUUUUAAACAUAUAAUAGAGACCUCAGAUAGUCCUAUAUAUAAGAUAUAAUAGGGCUAAACUUUUUACCCAGCUUAAGCAUUUUGAAUGGUGGUUAGGUUCAAGAGGUUAAGAGAGUUAAGCAUGCUAAAACGGGAGUAGUCCUAGGAUAGGUGACCCCCUGAGAAGUUGGGGUGUCACAGCGAUGCAUGUCACAUUUAAUUAAAUUAAAUUUAUAUUUAUAUUUUGAUUUUAAAUUGUUAUUAGUGGUAUGAAUCUAUUUAUCAAUUAAUUUUUUUUCUAACUUUAAUUUGUCUCCAAAUAAGUUUCAUAUUUUCUUUUAUUGUGUAUCUAAAGUUUGAAAAUUUUAAAUUAAUUCAAAAUUCUAAAUUAAUAAAUUGAUAUUUAUGUUUUUGAAUAAAGCUCAAAAUUUGAACUUUAUUUUAAAUCCAUAAUUUGAAUAUAAGUAGUCAUUGGACAAUUGGAGAUAUAGAUCAUUUAUCAACCAAUUUAUCUUUCAAACUUUUCUAAGUUAGUUAAUUAUUUUCGAUUUGAAAAAGUCUAUUGACAGACCCAAUAUUUAAAAUUUAAUUUUAAAUUUUGAAUUAAAACAUAGAUUCACGUUGGAAAUUAUGAACCAAACUUAAAAUUUCUAGUCGUUGUGAAAGGCUAAAUCAUUCUAUACACUACAACAAAAACGGUCUAUAGCGACACUUUUUAAAUGUCGGUACAGGUCAAAAAAAGUGCUGCAGGCUAAAUUAUCGACACUUUUAAAAAGUGUUGCUAUAUGUGGAGUCGCUAGGUAUAUAGUGACAGAUAAAGAGUGUCGCUAUAACCUAAAAGAGUGCUCUUAAUUUACCAACACUUAUUUAAGCAUUUAGCAAUCGCUGAAACUCUACCUCGUUGGCUGCGGUGGCGGAGGAGGACGAGAGGAAGGGAUCUUCGUAUAGGAUUUCAGUAGAUUGAGUGAGGAAAGAAGAGAAGAUGGUAAUCAAUUUUUCUUUUCGUUUUUUUUCUUUUCUGUUUUUAAUCGGGCCGAAUGGGCUGGGUGGGGUGGGUUGAGUAGAGUAACCUUUUAUUUUUGCUUGAAUUGGGCUUUAUAUUUAGGCAUUAGUAGAUUUAUUUUUAAGUUUUGGCAUAAAUGGGGCACUUACACAAAAGUGUCCCAAACAUGUGUCCCUAUAACCUAAUUCUGUUGUAGUGAUUUUUCAAACUUGAUUUAUUUUUAGUUAAUUACUUUUAGAAAUAAUGGAUAUUGUAAAUAUUUUCUAUGUUUGUUUCAUAUAGAUUUUAUUUUUUUCAAUAAGAAUAGAAUAUUCCUUUAUGUGGCAGGUGUGAAGAAUAUUUUAUGAUAAAUAUCCUUAGGUUGGUAAAAAUUUGGAUAAGUAUGAAUUUUUUUUGCUUCGCAAAUAGAAUAUAAUAUUUUUUCGCAAAAAAAAGGGUCAGUAAACAAUUACUUUAAUAGUUAUCACAAAUCAACAUAAAUUUGUAUAUCAUAUUUAUCCAAAAGUUUAUAAUAAAACUUUAAACUUUUAAAAAAUAAAUUCACCUGUUGUAUUUUAUUUGAAAAUAACUGUUAUAUCCUAGUUUAAAUUCAAAUAAUAGCAGCAAACAAUAAAAGUUUAUAAUAAAAAUUUAAACUUUAAAAAAUAAAUUCACCUGUUAUAUUUUAUUUGAAAAUAACUGUUAUAUCCUAGUUUAAAUUCAAAUAAUAGCAGCAAACAAUAAUUACAUAGUUUCAUGUUCUUUUUAUAUACAUUGAAUAUUUUCUAUAUGUGAGACCCCAAAUAGUCUUAUAUAUAAGAGAUAAUAGCGCCAAAACUCUUAAGCCGGCUAUAGCAUUUUUGGCAGUGACUUGGCCAAAGAGCUGAGUUAAGCAUGCUAGCUAGGGCUAGAGUAGUCCAAAGAUGGAUGAACCCCUUGGAAGUGGGGCGCCACAUUUGGUACUAGAGCCAAUUACCAGUCGGAAGUAUGAGAUGUCUCGGCUGAGCCAGGUUAUACAGCGGGGAAAGUGAGGCUCUUAUACUGAUGACCGUUAUGGUUAGAGCACGUGUGAGACCCUAGAUAGUCUUAUAUAUGAAAUAUAUAAAUCUAAAACUCUUUAACUCAGCUUAAGCAUUUUGGGCGGUGGUUAGACCCAAGAGAUUAAAAGAGUUAAGCGUGCUAGAACGAGAGUAGUCCUAGGAUGGGUGAAUCCCUAGGAAGUUAGGGCGCCGUAGUUAGUAUCAAAGCAAACUGCCAGCCAGAAAUGUAAGAUAAGUCUCAACUGAGCCAGGGUUAUACAGUGGGGAGAGCGAGGCUCUCAUGCUGUUGACUGUUAUGGGUAGAGCGUGACUCCUCUAUAAGGUCGGUUUAGGCUAGCGAGACUUGUGAGUCUAAGCCUGACGAGGCCGUCAGGACUUAAAGAAGGGAGGGAAUGUGAGGCCCUAGGUAGUCCUAUAUAUGAUAUAUAAUAGAGCGUAAACUCUUAACUCAGCUUAAGCAUUUUGAGCUGUGGCUAGACCCAAGAGGUUAAGAAAGUUAAGCGUGCUAAGACGAGAGUCGGACUAGGAUGGGUGACCCCCUGGGAAGUUAGGGCAUCACAGCGUGGUUCCCCCAAGGUUCGUUAAGGCUAGCGAGACAAGUCUCACAUCGUCUGAUACUUGUAAGUCUGAGCCUAAUGAGGAUGUCACGGCUUAAAAGGUGGGAGAAUGUGAGAUUCCGGAUAGUCAUAUAUAUAAAAGAUAAUAGAGCUAAAACUCUCAAUUUGUCUAUAAUAUUUUGAGCAGUGGCUAAACAUCAGAGGUUAAGAGAGUUAAGCGUGCUAAGGCUAGAGUAGUCCUAGGAUGCAUGACCUACUGGGAAGUGGGGCGUCACACUAUAUCUUAUGAAUUCUGAUGAAUCCAAAAUUUAAGUAUUUAUUUUAAACUAAAAGUAUCACAUUUUAACUCGCAUUUAAUUUAAAAUUUAAAAUUAAAUUUUGAUCUAUUUUAAUAAAAAAUUAAUUUUUAUUUAAAUUUAAAUAUAAAAUUAAAUUUAAAUCAUGAUUUUAAAUUUUAAUUAAAAAAUUUAUAAAUUUAAAUUCAAGUUAUAUAAUUAAAUUUCAACUCCGAAUUUCACAUGAAAUAAAAAUUUAGAAUCAAAUAAAAUUAAAAUUUAGAUACAUACAUACAUACAUAUCUAUUAUAUUAUAUUUAUUUAUAUGGAUAUUAUAUUUUUGUAUUUUAUUCAGUAUAAUAUAUAUAAUAUAUAUAAUGACUCUCUAUGGUUUUAAAAAAGUACAAUCAAUUGGUCGCUUGUAAGUUUUGGUCUUAUUAAAGAUUGUUUAGUAUUGGGCCCCUAAAGGUUUAGAUAUGGUGAUUAUAAAUCUAACAGGAUUAAAAAAUGACAAAGGCAAGAUCUAAACGGUAAAAAUUUACCAAGCACAAAUGCUUGUACAUUUUUACAAGUCAUUCAUACUGACUCUAUAAUAUAUAUAUAAUAUAUAAUUAAAUUAUAAUAUAUUAGAAAGAGAGAAAAGAGAGAGAAGAGUAACGAUAGAGAGAGCUAGGCUCCUAUGCUUUCGAAAGUACAGAAGCCUCCGUACUUGCAAAUUGUUUUCAACAAUGGGACAUCUAAUUCAGUGAUCGGUUCCGUUAGACAUGAUCUACGCUAUUGGAACUACCUAGAAACCAAAUUUUAUAAUUUUUUGACUUCGUUUGUCUAGUAAACGGGUAGCCUCAAAAUGAAUGGCUGAAAAUAAAAAUCUCAUAAAAAACAGUGAUAAAGGACUCAAAUUUCAAAUCAAAAGCAUUUGUCUUGCUAUUGAUGUUAAGUAGAAUUUUCUAUUAAAUUUUCAUCUAAUUUGGAUACUUCUAUCCCGUUGAACUUAAAAACGUGCCACAUCGGCCGUUAAAAUAGUCAUUUUUGAGACCUUUUGAUUGCUGAAUAAAUGAUGUCAAAAAAUUAUUAUAUUUGGUUUCUAAAUAGUUCCAAUAGAGUAGAUUAUAUUUAACGGAGACGAUCGUCGAAUCGGAUUUCCUAUCAUCGAAAAUAACUUACAAGUACGAAGGUCUCCGUACUUUCGAAAGUACAGGAGACUUACUCUAUAUAUAUAUAUAUAUAUAUAUAUAUAUAUAUAUUUGAAAUUAAAUUUAAAUUUGUGUCAAGCCGCGCGGCCGUUUUGCAAGUCUUUUUUAGAAAAUAUGUCUGUUUGAAAAUAGAGUCAGUGAAAAGUGCCUAUUUUUUUUGAAACAUAAAAUUGCCCACGAGACGAAAUACACCAGCCACAAAUAGAGGAGCUCCUUUGUACAUUCGGACAAAAUCUCCCCUGUUAUUUGUACAGUGAAUCACCUAUUACAAUGUCCACAACACACAAUAUCACACGCACACACAAUCCAGUAAACACAAUAUAAAUUCUCAUAUGUUCAAUCAGCUAACAAUCCUUAAGAUGAUGCAUGCUCUAAGCACUCUUUAGGCGAAGGAUGAUGCGGAUGCACAAUACGUCAAGCAACUCUAUCAUUCAAAAGUGUUUCCCCUCGAAAACUUUAUUUUAGGAUGCACAAUACGCGAAGCAACUUUAUAAUUUAAAAGUGUUUCACACCUAAAAAUUUUAUUUUAAAAAAUCUAGUAUAGUGAUAAAUCCAAAAAUUUAUUGAAAACCAUUUUCCACCCAAAAACUCAUUCAUUUGAAAUCUGAAUACCACGAGGAGUAGAAAAAUAUUUUGUCAUAAAACCACAAGUAUAAGAUCACCACUACCAUAGAUAGUAACAAAAAUCUAUCCAUUUAUUCUCAAAUAUAAACAAUCACAUUAACUAAACAAUCACCUAACUAAACCACAAUACAAUCUACUUUAUUAAUGAAUAACAAAAAGAGGUAAAGAUCAAAAUAAUCAAAUCAAUGACGAAUGCACGAGACCUCUAAAGCUUACAAGCUAACUGCACCUCAUGCAGCAUCCCAAUCCUCAUCCUCAAGAUCGCCUGAAAUGGAAAGGAGGGAGAGGGGGAGGGAGAGAGGGAGGGAGGGUUGAGAAACCAACAAGGGGUCUCCUAAUGGGUAUCACAUACAAGCUGAUGAGGGCAAAUGUACUCACUAACAAACAGAGCAUAGCCAAAAGGAGGUAUGUAUACAAGCGCAGUAGCAAAUGAUAAACAAUCAGAAUGAAUAAUAACAAAGCACCUAUUACUAUUGUCUACAAUAAUAAAUGCAUCAAUUGUACAGAAAGUGCAAAUACCCAAUCAUCUGCCAUAUUGAUCAAAAGACUCGGGCGAUGCCACAAAUUGCUCACCCGCCGACAUAUAACCCCAGCCAAACACAUUGCAUAGGGCUUACGGGUCGAAUAUACAACCACUCUUUCGGAAAAAAAACACUUGCGUUGUCAAACCAUUGGUGUACGUGACAUGCUGCCAGUUGUGGCGAUCGAUGCAGUAUGCUUAACAGCCAACAGAACGGUAGAUAGCCUAGAUCAGGUCAACAGUAACCACUUGUCCAAACAUAUCACCUAUAUCUCACAAAUACCACUGAUACUAACCAAUCAUGUCACGCCCUGGGGUCCGGCAUUACACGGGCUCGCCAACAGAUCUGCCGCAUACACAAGGAGCUUUGUGUACACGAAGUAAGAGAAGUACUUGAAAACAAUACAAGUACUACUAGAGAGUAACUUAGCUACUAAAACAGAAAUAAAUAGUCACUUGUAUACAUGUAAUCCAAGAUGUAUAAUAUAAACCAAAAGCACAGUAUCAACACCUCACAACUCUCAACAGAUGAAACAAAAGACAAUUGUAUGUACAUGAUUAUAAAGUGAAUAGUAACCAGCGUUUUCGGCGAGAACCGAGAAAAGAGGUAGGCUUCGGACGCUAAUUGGACUCUGUUUUGGAUGAUCAAAUAGCUCAUUUUCGAUGAUCCGAUUGUGUCAAAGUCAAUAGCGUUGACGGAUUUUAUGUUUGAUGCACGAUUUUCAAGAAAAAUAGGUUUUAUCGCUGGGAGGGAUUUUAUCUUAUGUUGUUUUUGCUUUUUAGACAUGAUCAGUGCUUCGUUUUGCGCGAAAACCUGCGGGCAGGGGCCUUUCUAUGAGAGGAUUAUGUUGGAGAUGGACUGGAUCGGAAAUUUGAAUUUUUGGGAGAGUUUUGGACAAUUAUUCUUUAAAUAAUGGUAUUAUUUUUUUUAAAAAAAAAGUGGGUAUUGGGGGUUUUUGGGAACCCAUGCCCUAGAUCCUAUCCUCCUCUCCCCUUGCCUACCUGAGAGAGGGCCACCGAAGAAGGAGAAGCAAGUUCUUCUUCUUCUUCUUCUUCUUCUUCUUCUUCUCUCUCUCUCUCUCUCUCUCUCUUUUUAUGUGGUACUGUAAAGGGGAGAGGCCAGGCCCCCCUUGUUUGCGAGCUCAAGCCCCCCUUAUUUGAAUAUUCUUUGAAAAAGAAAGAAAUAAAUAAGUAAUAAAUAAGCAAACAUGUCACGCUCCGGAUUACUACGUUUCCUUGGGCGCGCCAACAGACCCGCCGUACACAUAAAAAAUUUUCGUGUAUACGAAGCGAUAGCCAAAACCUGCAAAUAGAUAUAGCUACGACCAGAGGUAAUGAGCUGCUAAAAAAAAAAACUGAAACAUAUCUAUAUAAAUAAAAGGCCACUGUACAUACAAGCUCCAAAAGUACAACCACAUCCCAGUAAGUGCAACUAACAACUGCAUGUACCUGGUAACAUCCAAAACUACCUCUGUGGGGGUGCUCCUCUAGCAAAAAGGACUAAGGAAGAUAAAGAUCUAGCUUGCGACUCCCUUACCACGGUUAGAAUCAACAACAGCAACAGACGAAGGCUCUGCAAAAAUGUGGCAACAACUGGGUGUGAGAACUACUGUAGAACAGAGUAGUCCUCAGUAGGUACCGUCACUGUAAGGUACCGGACUUCUAAAAUUAUGAAGUUACGAUGUACAUUUAGUUGGAAAGCCAUUUGAAUGGUUUCGUGAAGUUCCGGUGAAGUUUGGAAGCAUUCGGGCGUUUCGGUGCGCGUAGGCGCGAAAACGAAACCCGAAAGGCUAUGUUGGACCGUAGACUAAAUCUGGCAUUAGCGUGGAUGAAAAGAUGAUGAAAACGUGCUCGAAAACAUGUUUGGAGAGUCUCGGUUUGAUUUGAAAUGAAUCGGAGGUCAAAUGAGUGAAAACGGAGUAAAAAUGGACGAAGGCUGAAAAUGCUGAAAAAUUGACUAAGUCUGGAACUUUGGUCCUUCGGGGACCGGUCUCUCACUACUUGGGACCAGUCCCAGAGACCCGAAAAUGCCCAGUUCGGGUUGUUGCAAGAAGAGACUUGUUGAGGGGGUUUCUUAUAAUUUUGCACUAGUAGAGGCCUUAUGAGGGGGGAAUGAGAUCUUUUCUCUCAUUCUCUCAACCCUAAACCCUCAAAACACAUGUCUCUCUCUCUCUAAAGCUCUCUUCUCUCUCUCUCUCUCAUCAAGGAUGGAUCUAAGAGGAGGAUUGGGUGGAGAAGAAGGCUAGGAAGUGGAUUGUGCUCAUCUUCUUCCUCUUCCUUGGCAUUGGGCAAGCUUUGAGGUAAGCUUUUGUGCCCAUUAAUUGUAGAACUCUAGGGUUUUAUUCUUAAGCUCUAGAAAUGGUUUAGAUGGAAUCCUAGCAUGCCAAAUAGAUGGUUUAUGCUUGAUUCAUGAGAUGAAUUGGAGUAUUUUGCUACAAUUGCAUCUAGGGCUCCAAUUUUGGGAUUUUUGGAAAUAUGAGGGUUUGAUCUCAAUUGACCCUCCAUGAACCUAAUUGCUAGGUCCCCGAAUGCGUUCGUGCACUCAGUUUGAGCAUUCGUCGAGCCGUUGUAAAGAUAUUGAAGAAACGGACUAUUUAGCUUCGUUUCCGCCUGGAGGGCCGAGGUGACAUCGUAAAAUCAUAAAAACAGAUUUGGAGCACCAUGGCAAAUAACCGAAGACCUAUAAUUUUCGGAGCCGCGAUUCGACGCACGGUUGGUGAGUAUUAGCAAAAUCGGGCCGAACCGGGUGCCGGGUGCCGCGGGAGGCCGAUUGCAAGUGACUACAAGCAAUCGGAGAGCGAGUCGAGGUGGGUUGUGCUCACCGAAGUGACUAGGUUGCCCUUAUGUCUAAGAGAAACGUGGUUUCAUGUUGAUGCAUAUAAAUGGUAGAUGAAUGCAAGGGUUAAAUGCUAGGUGAAUGCACGUUAAUUGCUAUGCUAUGACUACCAUAGAAUGCACGAUGAGCAUGUUAUAGAAAUGCUAGAUGAUGCAUGUAGAUGAUGCAUGCAAGUAAUGCUAAAUAAUGCAUGUGAGCAUAUUAUAAAGAAUGCAUAUUAGUGACAUAAUGCAAAUAUGCUAGUUAAUACAUGUGUGAUGACAUGAUGAGAAAAUGCUAGAUUAUAUGUAUGUUAACACAUUAUGAAUAUAUUCUAAUUGUUAAAUGCAAGCUCUAGAUGGUAAAUGUAUAAUGGCAUUAUGAGAUCAUGAGAAAGAUAGACAUGAAUAUUAACAUGUUGUAGAUCAUGUUAGAAAGAAUAUGCAUGUUGGCAUCAUAUAAUGCAUGCUAGAUAAAAUGUGGAUAUCUAUUGAACUCGAUGUGGACAAUAGGGUUGUCGAAUAGAUCGAGUGGCACUUAACCUAGUGUAUGAAACAUAGGUUGGACAUGAAUGACAAAGAACCUAGUGUUAUUAAACAUAGGUCGUGUGGCAUCUAACCUAGCGUUAAAGAACAUAGGUUGAACAAGCGAACCUAUAGUCGAGAUCUAGGUAGAGAUAACAUGUGAACCUAGUGUUGUUGAACCUAGGAUGAAUCAUGAGUGGCAUCUAACCUAGUGUUAAAGGACAUAGGUUAUGGAUUGAACCUAGAGUUAAGUAAACCUAGGUUAUGUGAUAGAGGCGUUGAACUUAGAGUCAAUUGGACCUAGGGUGGAAAGAACAUUAGACCUAGAUAGGUCGAUACUAUAGGGUUUGAGACCAACCCUUGAGUUGUGAAAUGGAUUCCGGAAUCCCUAGUGAUGUGGCCGCAAAAGAAGCGGUGGAAAUUAUGGUAAAAGAUAUGGCAAAGGAAUCAUAACUGUAGGUAUGUGUGGUUCUCCUCACUUAGCAGUGAUUCAACGGGUAUGUGUGGUUCUCCUCGCCCGAGAUGCCAUGAGAAUAAGCUGGAAUUGGGUAUGUGUGGUUCUCCUCGCCCAUUAGCUUAUCGGAUGAUGCCGCCUAGAUUGACUUGAACCUUGCUGGGUAAGAGCGAUGUGAUCGCUGCCAGAUGACUAAGUCGCGACUUGAAUCAUUGUUGGGUGAGGUGCGAUAAGUUCGCCGCCAGAUGGCUAAGUCAUGACUUGAGUUGUUGUUGGGUUCGAUGCGAUGAGUUCGCUGCUAGAUGGUUAAGUCAGAUUUGCGGAAGGCUAUGACGGCAGCCAGGCUGAGUUGCAGCCAGUGCGCGGACUAUCCGCGGAUGUUUGACUCGAGGCCGAGUCGGGUGGUUAGCUUGAUUAGGUUAAUGAAAACCUUAUAAGCUAGUGAUUGAGACAAGAACCUAAGGUAAUAGAGACCUUAGAAGCAAGUUGAACUUGAGCUGAGAACCUACGGUAAUAGAAACCUUAGAAUUGAAUGAAAUGAGUUAAAGUUAGCAAAGUGAAUAUAGAAUCAACAUAUUUACUAGUUGUUUAUACAGUUGCAUAGUUGCAUAAUAUUCAUAUUGCAUAUUGCAAGGCAUGUUAUCUGUUAGUUGCAUAAUUACAUUACGAUAUAUAUAUCUGUAGAUGUUUUUGAACUAACAUAAUUGCAGUGCCUCCUUGGACCUAUCGGUCGAGCUUUUUCCUUGGGUGACCGUACCCACUGGGAACCAUGGAGUUGGUUCUCACCCCACGUUGUUUUGGGGUGUUUCAGGUUCGCACGUGAGCGGUGUGGUGGGGCGAGGCAAGGGCGUAGCUCCAUAGAUAGCGCCCUACCCCAGAGACCAAAGAUAGCGGUAUCCCGAGUCGGCAUAACCUAGAGGUAUAGUAAAGGGAAAAGAACACAAUGUAUCAAACUUGUAAUAAUAAUUGUAAUAACUUAAUUGCAUUUGAAAGUUGAAUGUAAUGUAAAAUGAAAGCUGUGAUGAAUGCUUGUAAUAAUAUAGGAUGUGUUAUGUUGUUUGAUACCUUUCUUAUGCAAUCUUGCUUGAAUACCGUUCCUGGUUGGAACUUCUUGUACUUGUAUUGAUUGCGACGCCUAGGACGUACAGGAAAAACUCUGUCCGUUCGGUGGUCUGUCGGCGGCGCCGUGGCCUCGGCGAAAUAGGCGGGUGGUCGCGGGUCGUGACAGUCACUGACCCCAACGGGCCACCCACUAAGUCUACAGUAAGAUAUGCAAAGGAUAGUAUAGUAAACUAGAAGAAACACUACAGCUAUAUGCUACCCGACUACGGCUAUCCAACCAUGCUCUUUGUAGACAUAGAAAUACAUCCCUAGCUACACACUGACCUAAUGUCAAGGGACAACCGACUGGCCCGUCCAGCCUGUACCCAAGCUACACCGCACACCACCCACGGAGGUAGCGGUUCCAAGAACAAUGUCCAAACAGGACUGCUGCAACAUCAACGUAAGUAAAGCCUCACUUCGGAGCGGCACUCGUGGGAGCAACCCAACCGAGUAUGCAAACGUGUCUCUGUCAAGCUCAAUCAGGCUCACAGAGGAUAUAGUCAAUGCAAAUGGGUCAAACUGGUCUAACAACCAAAACUCACGUGCUCUCGGCACAAUCUGGAACAAAAUGUAAACAUCUGGGUCCAUCAUCAACCACGACGACACCCAACAGUACGGAACCGUCCAAACUCUACUGUAAAACGAGCUCGGCCCCUCAGCACGAGCAUAAUCUUAACCUACACUAAUCUGGAUAUCCACAAUGUACUAACAACGGUGAUACAAAAGAACAACAGCUUCUGAAGUUAAUUCGGUUAACUUUUCAAAAAGUGACAGUGUAGGUUUAAUCAAUUUUCUCCUAAGUCAAAUCUCAGUUCAGUAUAUAUAAUGUCACGCCUCGAGCCCGGUCCUAUUUGGCUGGUUCGAGCACGUCGAACAGAUGCCGAACGGACAGCACCUCCCCUGUCCGCCCAAGGCUCAAAAACAAGUACAGAACAAGUAUAUAAAUUGCAUAGCGGAAACAUAAAUAUACUUGGCUUGCGCAAGGGCAAGCGAUAGCCAAAGUGAAAGUACUAAACUAAACAUCAUACAAGUAAUAUGAUUAACUUUUAAUCACAUACAUGCAUUCAAUCACAAGUUACAUUUACAUUCUUUUCAUCAAUUCUUCUUUUGAUACAUCACAUGAUAUCCCAAAAUAUAUCUCUUUGCAUUUAAACAUAAACUCUUUUACAUCACUCAUAUUCUUUCAUUUAAACAUCUAUAAUCAUUAAGUACAAAAGAUGAUAUACAAAAGGGUAUGCAACUAUAUAAAAUAAAGUCCACUCGGGUUGUCCAUGUCUAUGGCGCGAUACCUUUACCGCGAUCGUCGGCCGGCUCACUCGGUCCCGGCUCUGUGGAAAUAGUGGGGUGAGAACUACAACAAAGUUUCCAAUGGGUUCGGCUGCCGAUCUCGUCGAUUUUCCCACUAGGUCUAAAUCAGGCAUAAUAGAAAGAUAGAUAGAUAGUAACCAACUAACAAUGCAGCUAAUAUGCCUGAACAAUAUAAUCAAUGAUUAUGCUCAAAUAAAAUGCUCCUGAUGAAUGCUAGGUCACUUUCCAAUUCUCAAUAUCGUGGCUAACCCAUAGGUUUCGCCCUCAAUAAACUCACCAACUCAUAAUCCCAAGUAUCGGGGAGACUACUACGACCCGAUGGGACCGUCCUCUGGAGAGACUACUACGACCCAGUGAUGACAACUCCGGAGCUCAUCGCUCGAGGGGGAGCUACCACCCUCCGAGCAAGGACUUAUAGGCAAGGAUAAUCCAAUCCUUAACUAUAAGGAUUCCAUGUCACGCCCUGAGCACGGUCCUAUUUAGCCGGUUCGAACACGUCAAACAGACGCCGAACGGACAACACCUCCCCUGUCCGCCCAAGGCUCAACAACAAGUACAAAUAGAGUAUAAAAUUUGCACAUACGAAAGCAAACAUAAUGGCUUGCACGAGGGCAAGCAAUAGCCAAAGUGAAACUACUAACUAAACAAGUAAACAAGUAAUAUGAUUAACUUUAAAUCACAUACAUGCGUUCUACUUAGAUUCUUUUACAACCUUUGCAUCAUUUCUUUUUACAUCUCAAGUUCUCCAAAGUAUGCCUUUGCAUUUAACAUCAUUAAUAUCUUUAAUAUAUUUGCUUUAAACACCUAUAAUCAUCAAAAUAGAAAAGAUGAUGUAAGAGGGUAUGCAACUACAAAAUAUAAAAGUAUCUCGGGCGGUCUCUGUCUAGGGCGCGAUAUCCUUACCGCGAUCAUCCGCUGGCUCGCUCGGUCCCGGCUCUGUGGAAAUAGUGGGGUGAGAACUACAACAAAGUUUCCAGUGGGUUCGGCCCCAAUCUCGCCGACUUUUCCACUAGGUCUAAAUCAGGCAUAGUAGAAGAAUAGAUAGAUAGUAACCAACUAACAAAUGCAGCUAAUAUGCCUGAAUAAUAAACAAUGCCAUGCUCAAUUAGUAUGCUUAUGAUGAAUGCAAAAUCAUGAUUUCAUUGCCCAAAUCUCUUGGCUAACCCGUGGGUUUCGCCCUCAACAAACUCACCAACUCAAAUCUCUACUAUCGGGGAGAUACCCGCUACAACCCGACGGGACCGUCCUCUGGGGAGAUACUCGCUACGACCAACUGAUGACUACUCCGGAGCUCAUCGCCCGAGGGGGAGCUACCGCCCUCGAGCCAAGACUAAUAGGUGAGUACGAUCAAUCCUUAACUUUAAGGAUUCCGAGUCCAAUCCAUUCCUCACUAUGACGAUGCAAUGCACAUAUAACCCUUAACUUUAAGGUUGCUAUGUCAUAUUGUCACUAUCUCUCUCUACUUGCAUUCUCUAACUUUCUCUACUGUCAUCUACACUACUUGGUCUUGUACUCAUUCUCUAAUACCAUACUUGUUCUUAAGUGUUCAAUUCUAGUAUUCUUGUCAUUUAUUAAUGCCACACACUCUAAUGUUCAUUUACAUAUUUGACAUCUACUAAUGCCACCCAAUCCAUAUGUCAUUAUGUCAUUUUGGUUCUUUACCUCAUCUAAAUUCUUAUCACUUUUUAUGCAUACAUAGGGUUUUCAUGUUCUUACUCUUUUACCAUUCUUUUCCAUGCAUUUAUACUCAUAACAUGCAAGAAAAUACUUUCAAUUAACCCUACUAUGCUCAAUGUUCAACAUUCACAUAUGCUCAACAAAAUGACACUUUAGACAUAAAGGGAAUUUCACCGAUUCCGGAUAGCACCACCCACCUUUGAUGGUUGUAAGAAGGCUACGGUUCAAUUCUUGAGAUUUUAGGGCACCUACUUUCUCGCCUGCGGCAAAACGAAGCCAAAUUAGGCUUUUAUUCAAUAACUUUAUCUUGACCUUUUCGUAUCGUUGAACCGAGUUGUCUAACGUGUUGGGAAUACUUCCAAUUAAGUUUCCGCACUGUCAAUUUGCCUUGAAAACAUCCUAGGGCAAAAGCCCCAAAAUUCAUGCCCUAACAAUGUCAUAUAGGGUUUUCUCCUAGAUUGAUCUCAUUUCUAAGCAAAAGCUAGCUUAGAAUCGACUAGGAAGCAUUCUAAUACCAUCACUAAGCCAUCCCAAACAUCCCUAGGGUAUCUACUUUAAACCCUAGGUGUUCACCAUGAGAGCACCUUGGGAAAACCAUUGUUUCAUGGUGAACAAGGCUUAACAAAGCUUCUAAACAUGAGAGAAACUCAAAACUCUUAAGUUCUAUAGUGGAAAUCCAAAUCCUAGAUGAGCUUUUACCCUAAAACUCACCUUAGCCAAAAGCUAUCCCCAAGUCCACCUUGAUAGAGAGCUUCCCAAGCCUUCAACUCCACCAAAAUCUCCUUCAAAGCCUUCUUCUCCUUCUUCUCCUUGCCCUAGAGCAAGAUCUCUAGAGAGAGAAAGAGGGAAAUGAGAGAGGGAGAGAGAGAAGGGGUGUUUGCUGUGAAGGGGAGAGGGGUUAGGUAUAUUACAUGUUGUAACAAUAGCCAAAAAGCUCUCCAUUUUCUCUAAUUUGCAACAGACCUCAUUGUUGCUGCCAGACCAAAGCGUACCGGUACACUUUGUUCUGUCACCGGUUACACGAUCACACAGAGGCAAAUCCGAGAGCAGCCUCCUCGGGUUUUACCAAAGUGUACCGGUACAAACCAGGGGUGUGCCGGUACACUUCAGCGCAAACUCAAACCCGAGAGCAGCUUCCUCUCGGCCUGCUGGUCUGUACCGGUUACAACUCGAUGGUUGUACCAGUAUACCUGCUCCAGAAUGCAGUUUUAGCUCCGAUUCAACUCUACUUCGCACCGGUCGAUGCUAAAACCUUUCUAACAUCUCUUAAACUCAUUCUUAACCCUUCCAAUAUUGUUGGAACGCCAAAUGGAACUUGCCCAACCAUUUUUUUUCGCACACUUUAGUCAAUUUGGCUAAAGUUCGACAUUUCCUACCGAGUUUUGGUUCGUUACAUUCCAAGUUCAAUCCAUUCCUUAACUAUAAGGAAGAAAUACUCAUAUGACCCUUAACUAUAAGGUUGCUAUGUCAUUAUGUCAACAAUCUCACUUAUUUGUAUUUUUUUAACAUUUAUGAUGCCACACACACUAAGUGUUCUUUAACUCUUUUCAUGCAUUCACUUUACUCAUUAGUGUCACGUGCACUACAUGUUCUUUAUACUCAAACACUAAUGCCACACAUUAGUUGUUCAUCUCUAGCAUUCAAUAUGUUUACUAAUGCCACUCUACUCAAAGCCCAACCCUAGCAUUCAUAGUCUUUACUAAUGCCACACGACUCCUAUGUCAUAAUGUCAUUUUGUUCUCAACUAUGUUCUUUACCUUUCUAGGUUCUUGUCAUCAUUCAUACAUACAUAGGAUUUCACAAGUUCUCACUAAUUUAUCAUCAUCUCACAUGCAUUUGUACUCACAACAUGCAACACAUACUCACAUUUCACCCUACAAUGCAUAAUGAUCAUAUAUAACCCAUGCUCAAGAAAUGACACUUUAGAUAUAAAAGAAAAUUCAUUGAAUUCGGAAAGCACCACCCACCUUGUAUGGUUAUAAAGGUGCUACGGUUCAAUUAUCACAAUUUUUGGGCGCCAAUUCCGCGUGCUGCGGCAAUCUGUACCAAAACCGAUCUUUUCGUCAAUUUCUUCGCGUACACUCGUCGGAUCACCGAACCGAGUUCAUAUUCUACUUAGAAAUACCCCCAAUUAGGUUUUCACAAGGUCAAUUUGUCUUUAAACCACUCUAAGGCAAAAGCCCUAAUUUUGGUGUCCUAACAAUGUCAUUUGCCCAAUACCUUAGUUUGAUCUCUAAAACAAGCAAAUGCAAGCUUGUUGAACCUCUAGUAACUCAUCUAGAACCAUUUCUAGGUCACUCAAAUCAUUUCUAGGGUAUACAAACAGAACCCUAAAAAUUCACCAUGAGAGCUCAUGAAGGAAACAUGGAUUUUCAUGUGUUCAUGGCCUCUACAAGGUUUCUACACUUGUAAGAAAAUCAAAACCUAGCUUCCGAGGGUAUAAAACCAAAUCCUAAUCUCAUUCUUACAAGAAACCUCACCUUAGCCUAGAUGCCCACCAAGCUCCACCUUGUAGGAGAGCCCCCAAAGCCUCCAAACUCCAGAAAUCUCCUCUAAAUCCUUCUCCAACUCCUUCUCUUAGCUCCUUGGAGAGAUCUCUAGAGAGAGAAAGAGAGAAAUGAGAGAGAGAGAGAGGUGCUUGCUGUUGUGAACAAGUGGGAGGGGUGUGUGUGGUCUUAUAUGGGUUGCCAAAUUGCAAAAAGACCCUCCAAAUCUUCAUAUUUGCAACAGACUUAAUUCUGCUGCGAAGGACAUCUGGUACCGGUACAAGAAGGAUUUGUCACCGGUUACACGAUCGCGUACAGCCAAACCCGAGAGCUGGCUUCUCGGGUAAUACACUUGGUACCGGUACACACCAGGGGUGUCACCGGUUCAAUAGCCUUUUUUACUCAAACCCAAGAGCUGCUUCUCUCGAUCUGAUGCCUGGCCGGUACAAGGUCAAUGCAUUACCGGUAACAAAAGCUCCAGAAUUUCAGUUUUGCAUUGUUCCGUUUCUAUUUCGCGUCGAACAAUGCUAAAACAUUUCUAACUCUUUUAGAACUCAACUUUAACCCUUCCAACAUUGUUGGAAUGUUAAAUGGACCUUAUCCAACUAUUUCUUUCGCACACUUUAGCCAAUUCGGCUAACGUUCGAUUUACACUACCGAAGUUUCGGUAUAUUACAUAUAAUUUAUCUAAAAUUCUAAGAGUACGCUCCAAAUUCAGAUUUCAUAUAAACAUGCAAGACCAUGAAUUCGAGCUACUAAACGCGAUGAACAAAACAACGAAAUACAUGCUGACAUCUCUAUGACUUAGAAGGAAUUCCGACGAUUUCGGUAAACAUUAACCAACCGAGUAUGCAAAUUCGACUACAGAUUAAAGCGAAACUCAGCGGUCACGUGCCUUCAGUCCCGAAUCACCAACAAGUAUAAGAAAAUCCAACAAAUCCCUGUUGGAUCGAGCUAAAUUAAAAACCGAAUAAAAAAUCCAUCAAAUGUCUAUUCGGUUCAAAAAAAUUGAAAUUCAGCAUUACUCACCUCAAACCAAUAGUUGCAACUUAAUUCGCAGGUUCCUCUCUACCUCAGGAACACCCUAGAAGGAUCCAAUUGUAGCAAAAGGGUCCAAAUCAAAACUAAUUUUGAAAAUUAGUUGCUGUUGUCCCUACUCCAAGGUUGCUGUAAUUAUCUCCAAGCUGCUGCUGGCUUCUAAGCUGCCAGUACUGAGUUAAACUUCAUUCUUGCUCCAACAACAAACAAACAGCAAAAUUGGGAAUUGGGACUUGUUCACAAGUGAUCUUGGGCCUCUUUACUACAAGAAAAAUCUAUAUGUUCCCAAGAAAUUCCAUUACAAUUGAAAGAUAAAGGUCAACUGUCACACCCUAGACUUUAGCGGAAGCUCACCAAUUACAUGCACAGAUCCGCCGUGUACACCACAAUCUCAAGUAUACACCAGGCGUCUACAACUCGCAUAGUAAAAGCAUUUGAUUCUAACUAGGUAAUCAGAGCACAACUUACAGGUAAAGUAAACUCAUACAACCCAAAACCUUGAUACAGCUUAGAAAUAAAAUACAUUUUGCAUAAAUCCAAAAUGCAACACUGAGCUAGACCAAAAUAAACUAGUAGAGCUUCAUCUAUUUAACACUAAGGAAGCUCUAAUUAACCGCUCACCCCUCGCCAUGAACCCUAGCCUUUCCCGCUGUGGAAGGCUCUGUAAAAACAACAACAAAGAGGGCGUGAGAACUAUUAAACAAUAGUUCCCAGUGGGUAAGCCGCCGAGAGUGGCGAAAUACACCACUAGGUCAUCUGAGGCAUAAGUAUAAAGCAAUAAAUAAAUAGAGUAAAUGCAAUAAUAACAGAAAUACUUUAAUCAUGCUAUGCCUCUACAAAAUAUGCUUUAACAAGUUUUAUAUGUCAAUUCUAAUGAAUGAAAGCUAUAAUCAAUUAUAUGUCAUGCUAUAUGCAGAAUAUCAUCAUGUUACUAGUUAAUGACUUUAUAUAGCUAUCUCCUAUACUGACAAGAGUGUAUACAUUCAAAUACUGUCGCAAUACUAUUAGUCAAUAGAGAUGUCAACCCUUUUGUAUGUUUAUUACUAAAUAGACUUAACCAAUGACAUAAACUAUCUUUACUACUAUGUCCAUCUAAGGUUAAGGUAAAUCAUAAUAACCCAAUUCACAGUAGACUUACACAUGGUAAAGUCAUAGCCACGCCGUGCCUAAUGGCCUUGUGGAAGUCAACACUACCCACAGCAAUCCACUUCGGCGCUCAAAUUCGUACAUAAGCGAGCAAUCUAUCGCUAAGCUACUCCGGAGUGCUGGCUUGGGGGGUCGCGCACAAGCGUGUGCGAAGAGCAUGAUGGCAUGCAAGCAAUAAUCCACAGUAUAGAUAUCACCACUUCGUCAUGUCCCUGACAUGGAAUCUCAACUCGACACAAGGUUGACACUGUAGUACCAAAUCUUAAGCCACUAUCAACCAUUUGUUGACAUAAUUCUUUCAAUAGCUAGUAUGACUUAAUAAGUAUAUACUUUGCAUCAUAAUGGGCUAUACCCACACAUAUUCACUUAUAGUCCUUUCACUACUCCCUAUACAUAAGGAAAGUGGUGCUCUAAGGUCAUCUUUAAUGACUCAUGGCACCUACUCUAUAGUUGAACAUAAUCCUCCACUAUUUGGAGUAAACAAGUAAUAUACGAUACUCUCUACUUGAUUAUACAAAUACGUCCUCAUGUUUAACUCUAGUUACUACUAGAUCAUGUAUAUAUAUAUAUCAAACAUGAAGUACAUGCCAUCUCUAUUUAAUGAAAACAAUGACCAACUUGUCAAUACAAGCAUGUGAAGCAUUCUCAACUGUACUCUCAACAUAAUUUCCAUAUAAUUAUACAAGCAUGUAACUUCACUAUACAUGAUAUUCUAAGAGUUCUAUUAGCCUGUCCACAAUCUAGAGUGGCAUAAAUGUAACUCACAGAUACAUCAUUCACUUGAUAGCCCAACUGAUCUAAAUGUCAUGUUUAUAAUUUAGCAGUUAAUCCACAUAGAAGGAUGUUGUACUUAACUUGUUCACACUAGUAUACGGCUAACAUGAAUACAUGCUAAUCAAGCACACAAUUUAUAUAAACUAAGCAAUUUUAUCACUAUUCCUCUACUAUAUAGAGGUUCCAUGAUAUGCAAUCUAGUAUGCAUUUUAAUGCAUAUCUCAUUUCAUUCAAAUAUCCGUUUAUGCAUGUGAAUAAGCCACUGUUCCAAUUCAUAAUGUCACAGCCCGCGACCACCCGCCUAUUUGGCCGAGGUCGCGGCGCCGACAGUGCCGAACGGACAGGGUUUCCCCUAUACUACGGACAGAGUCUCCCCUGUACGUUCAAGGCAACGCAAUCAAUACAAUACGAGGGUUCCAACCAGGAACUGAUAUCAAUCAAGAUUGCAUAAUGGAAGGUAUCAAACAACAUAAACACAUCCUAAGUUAUUACAAUUUGAUACAUUCGCUUUCUUUUCAUUUUCUUUACCCCUAAGCUUUGUAGACGGGUACUGCUAGCUCUGGUCUCCGGGGUAGGGCGCUAUCUACGGAGCUACGCCCUUUCCUCGCGCCGCCGCGCCGCUCACGUACGAACCUGUAAAACCCCAAAACAACGUGGGGUGAGAACCAACUCCAUGGUUCCCAGUGGGUACGGCCACCCAAGGGAAAAGCUCGACCGACAGGUUCAAAGGAGGCAACUGCAGGUUAGUUUAAUAAACAGAUAGAUAGAUAUUUUGACUAUGCAAUUAAUAGAACCAUACCUUGCCUCGCAAUUGUAACAAUGCUAUGCAAUAUGCAAUACCUGUAAAUCAUGCAAGUAGAUUACUUGAUCUACUUUAUAUCAUUAACCAUACUUUACUUGUAGCCGUUCUUUUCUUUAUUAGCUAUUCACGUUCGUUAGUUAUUCUUUAUUCUUUACUCUUUGUCUUAUUGUGCUCACUGGCGAUUCUUUCCUAAGAUUAUUUUACCUUAGCCAUCUAUGCCACUCGACUCGGUCUCGAGUCAAUCAACUGCGGAUAGUCCGCACUCUGUCCGGCUCAAGGUGAAGGACCUCUCACUUACACCUCAGCCUUCAGUCCACAAACAUCUCGCCAACGGGUCGCCCAGAGCUGCGUACACCCGUGGUCAGGGAUCUUUCCGGUGGGAAGGGGAUUAUACCACAAACUAAACCCGCGGCCCAAGACCCCCGAUAGGGAAGGGGACAUGCCACACUCAACGCUAGCAAAGCACGAUUCUGCCGACAGGAGGGGGAACCUGCCACACUCGACCCGCGGCCUCGAAUCAGCCUCAAGCUCAUCCUCGAAGUUCGUCCAGUGGGAGCGGACCCUGUCACACUCAACCCACUGCUCUAGAACUGUCGAGUUCACAAUCCUAAGAUUCCGGAAUCUAUUUCCCAAGCCUCUAGGGUAAUCUCAAACCCUAUGAUAUCGACCUAUCUAGGUCCAAUGCACUUUCUGUCCUAGGUCUAGCUGACUCUAGGUUUAAUGCCCUUUUUCACAUAACCUAUGUUCUUUAAACUAGGUUAAGCCUCUCUACCUAGAUCUUAUUAACUCUAGGUUCAACAACACUAAGUUCAUUGUCAACCUAGGUUUACCAACACUAGGUUCGAUAUCGAUUUACCUAGACCUUGAAUCUAGGUUCAUUAUGUUCAACCUAUGUUCACGACACUAGGUUAAUGCCACUCGAUCUAGCCUAGGUUCACGACACUAGGUUUAACAUCAUUCAUAUUCAUCCUAGGUUCUUGACCCUAGGUUCAUAUUCAACCUAUGUUAAUUACACUAGGUUCGGCGCUACUCGAUCUAGUUAGCCCUACUUGUCCACAUCGAGUUUCUAUAAUCAUAUAUACUCUAGCAUGCAUUCUAUGAUGCCGACACGCAUCUACAUUUAACAUAGCCUACAUUAUCAUCGUGCAUGUUAUACAUGUAUAGCUUUUCUCAUCAUGUCAAUAAGCAUUAUCCUCUCGCAUGCAUUUUCAUAAGGUCAAUAUGCUCUUGUCAUCUAACUUGUAUUCACAUGAUGCACUUAUGCAUUUUAUCCAACCGCACUUACAUGCUCUAUUAUGAGUUGACAUGAACUAGCACUUGCAUAUAAUUCCAAUGCAUCAACAUGCCAUUAGCAACUAGCAUAAUUACUAUCAUUUAGCACAUGCAUCUUAACUAACAUGCUCACAUAAUGUUACAUGCACCUAGCAUACAUUCCAAUGCACAAAUAUAUCGCUUGCAUCUAGUUACUAGCAUGUACUUCCCAAUGCAUUAUUAUGCAAUUAUCACUAAACAUUACCCAACAUGAUCUCAUAACGCUAAAUGCCCCAAGCAUGUAUUUCACUAAGCAUACAUACUAAUAUGCAAAUUACCAACUAGCAUGCAUUUAUACAAUGCAAAUAUGCCCGUAUGCACAUACAUAUAUGCAUCAACCAAAAAUCCAUAUUUCACUUUGACAUGUGGGGCGACCAAGUCGCUUCGGUAAGCACAACCCACC